UAAGUUCCCCGAUCUCCAUCGUUUUAACGAAUUAGCUAAUUACUAUACUCACUGUUGUGGUGUAAGCAUUGUUCCUGGAGAUUGAAUUUGUGUACCGAUUUACGAUAUUUACCCUAUUUAAUUUGCCACAUAUUGUUUCAGGGACAAAGAAUUUGACCUAUCUCCCUAUUCUCAAAAGAUCCACUUUGUCCUUAACAAGCUCAAGACGCAGCUAACAAUUUGCAGAGCACGAAUUGGUGGGUUAAUUAAUUGCAUAUUUUUUAUUAAUUGAGGUUCACAUUAGUUCUAUAUGUGUACUCUUUGAAACGAAAUUUGAAGCAAUUUUAUUGUUGUCUAAUGCAGAGUUCAUAGAAAAUUAUAAAAAGCUCAAGAAACUGUUCCGAACACCUACUGAAAUUAUGGAAAUCUUUAAGGGUUUGUUAUUUACAAAGGAUAAUGUCCAGCCACUCGUUGAUUGUUCCACUAAACAAACGGUUUGUGCAUCAUCUCUAGGGCCAUCAUUUCUCUACAAAUUGUAACAACAAUAGUGAAACUUAAUGGUGCCCAACUCUUUAACAGGUGAGCAUCGAAAUCCUAAGGAGGAAGAAUGUGCUAUUCUUCAUUUCCAGCCUCGACAUUACGGAUGACGACAUUUCGAUUCUGAAACCGGUCCACGAGUUCACAAAGAAAGACAAUCAGUAUAAGAUUGUGUGGAUACCGAUUGUGGAGCAAUGGACCGAUGAGCUGAGAAAGAAAUUUGAAAUCCUGAAGAACAAGAUGCCGUGGUAUACGGUGCAGUACUCUGGACCUAUUGCAGGCAUCAAGUUCAUCAAGGAGGAAGUGGAACUUCAAGGUAAGCCAUUACNGGUAGUGAUGAACCCACAAGGAAAGGUCGAACACUCUAACGCUCUUCACAUGAUUCGGGUGUGGGGAGUCAAGGCCUUCCCUUUCACAGAGACGAUAGAGAAAGAGCUGUCAUCAGAUUCUCAUGGAGGAAUUCACUCUAUAGUUGUUGACGGAAUUCACCCUUCUGUGCCAUCUUACGUAAUUCACCUCAACCGAUCAAAGUGCAUAUAUAAAUUCACGAGUUAUUAUUUAUAGUAUUUGCCUAUAUAUAUUACUUUUGACAGUGCAUUACUACAUCAAUAUAUACAUUACAUAAUAAUGAACUAGGAGAGUACGGUCAUCUCCAUUAUUGAUAUAUUUUCACUACAUUCACCUGAAACGAUGAGAAACUUAUUCAAUUUGUUAUCCUCAAACAGAUCAGAGAUAAUAAGUACAUCUUCUUCUAUGGCGGUAAGGACAACGAAUGGAUUCAGCAAUUCACAAAGAAAGCAACUGCCCUUGCAAACGAUCCUAUCUUGAAGGAGGCAAAGAUUUACAUAGAGUUGGUUUGCGUUGGAAAAGGCAGCAAAGGAGAAGAUGACCAUGGCAUUCUAGGCCGCUUCUGGACCGGUAUAGAAAGCUUGUUCCUCACCAAAGUCCACAAGCACGUUGAUCCGAUCGGUCAAGAAAUUCAGAAGCUUGUCUCUUACAAGAACGAAAGUGGAUGGGUGUUGCUUACCAAAGGAUCAACUUUGUUGGUCACAGGUCAUGGUAUCUCCGCAUUGAAGGUGGUAGAGGACUUUGAGAAAUGGAGGGAGCAUGUCAAGGAGAAAGGGUUUGAGUAUUGUUUCAAGGCCUAUUAUGGGAAGGUUAUUCAGGCGGGUCGACCUUGUUGCCGUCUUGACAUUCCGGGGUCUACCGGAAAGGUUCCGGAGUCGAUGAAGUGCCCUGAUUGUCACCGUAGUAUGGAGACUUUUAUCAGUUACAAGUGCUGCCACAUUGAUGGUCCAACUGCACAUCAUUGAGUGCUGGCUGAAUUGGUGUUUACGAUCAGUCCUUCAGUACGUUAUGAUGGACUGUUAUGUUAUCUUUUACUUCUGCUUGUAUGAAUAAGAUGGGCAUGGCCGAUGCAUUGUGAUGCUUGGUAUAACCCAGACUUACGAUUUGAAUUUUCCAGCUAUAAUUAUAUGGCUAGAUGUACUAUGUUUGGUGCUAUCGUACGUGUACCUUUUGAAUCAAAUAAGACCAAUAUUUUGGUGACUAAAUUGAAACCAAUUUAAUUUUUUAUUUCAGGUUAUUUUGUUAAAACAAAACAAAAAAGCUUAAAUUGAAAUAAGGGUUAGUUUAGGAUUGCUGUGACUUUUUAUAAAAAUUGAUUCUGUUGUACUAUGAAUACAAUCAGUUGAGUGAAGGAAAAUACUUGUGUGCGGACUAAUAUGUAUGUGUGCGUCCGGACUCUCUGUUAUUUACAUAUUUUCGGCAAUGUAAAUCAUAAUUUUAACUGUACAAAAGUUGGAUUAACCAAUAAAGAUUAUCUCUGCGAAAAAUCAAUGUAAACAAAAUUCGUUUGCUUAUCCGAUUGCAUUAAACAAAUGAACAGUUCUGAUGAAAGUUAGCAACCUCAUGAUUAGCUGUCAAUUUGUUUGAUUCAUUUAGCUUAACAAACGAUUUUUGUUCACUGAUUUUUUUACAUAGGUGAUCUUAAGGUGUUUGACCCGAAAGCAUGUACCAUACCCGUUUUAUCAGAACACGCGGAUCCUAUUUGACCCGAAAUGCAAAUGCCUAUUUAAGUUGAGAAACUCGAUCGUUGAAGCAACGAUCAUUUUGGAAAAACUAUUCUGGGCUUAGCUUCUGCGAAAAAGUUCUAUGCUUUACUUGAUUUCAAGGUACUCAAAUUGAUAGUUAAAAGUAUGGACCAUUGUCGAUGAUUCUUUUACAGGGAAAUCAUUAGGGAUCGAGUUUGUAUUAUAUUGUUUCUAAUACGUGUUCCUUCUUUUGACGCGAGGAAACCAAACUUGGGUUCUACUAUGAUUCUGGGAAGGAAUUAAGAUUCUGGGAAGGAACGAAAGAAGAAGGUAUAAUCGGUAAGUGCCCAGCACUACAAAAGGGUAAAAGCUGAACGAAGAAAUUUCGACGGGAUGGUGAUGUUACCAUGAAGAAAUAGCUCUAGGAGCUAAGAUACUUGUCUUGCAUUGUGGUUUCUUUUAAAAUUCAUUUAAGUCGGCUAAUUUUAUGCAUGAUUCUUUUUACAUUUUGUGCUUUCAUUGGACCUAAUGAAAUUUUGUGCUUUUAAGCCGUUCGUUUGAGUCUAGCAGGAAAACAAAGUAUUGAGUACAACUCAUACUUAAGGCAAUCCAUCUGCUUUGGCCAAGAAACUUAUUACUGCUGAUUAAUAAGUGAGAUUGAUGUGUUGAUUUAUGUUUUCUGAAUAAUAUGUGAAAUAGUCAUGCUAUCACAUAAAGGCAAUAGCAAGUAUGAUGUCCAAUAAAUAGCUAUUGAUCAAUGACUUGUUCUGUAUCUGUUGGCAUGCUCUUUAUUGAUGUUUUGGUAUAACUGAAAACUAUAUAUGACUAUUUAGAUGAACUCAUUGACAUCUUGAUAAAUGACGCAUUAAUGCCUUGACAAGAAAGCAUGGUAAGUUAGUCAUUAGAUAAUAGACCAAAUUUAUCUUGUUUUCAUGAAAGUGUGGCUGUUUUUUGAGACUGCAUCAAUUUUUUUUGAAAUUGUCCAUUGUAAUUGAAAGUUCAUCGACUCAUGUUAUUACCUACUGGAAAUUUGCAUUCUGGAUGUAUCUACUAAGGAUCAUCUUCAAACAUUUGUGUGUAUAUAUGUAUAUAUGAGUAAAUGUCUAUAAUUAUAAUGAAACUACUCCCUUUUAAACUGUGCUAGUCUGUAGAUAUGCAAAUAGCAUUCAUAUUAGAAAUUUACUAGAUAUGCAUGUGUUGGGAUUUACUUCCAAUGAUUCUUAGCAAAUAUCGGCUAUCAACAUAAAGUUAUCUUUUUAGCUAGUAGUUAAAUGUCAGCGCAAUGCAAAUACAGGAUUUCUGGUAUAACUUGUUAUUGUUUCUCUUGGUCAUUAUUCAAAUCUGUAUAUUGAGUAUUGGAACAAGUCAUGUGCUUUUCUAUAAUUGUACAGUUAAUACUACUUCAAGCUAGUGACAUUUAAUGACAGUAUUUACAUGAAAUUUUGCACAACUAAUUGAGCUUCAUAAGUAUGUGUGAUUGUCAAUGGAAAUCACGUAAAGCACUAAAGGCUACUUUUAUAUCUAUGCUAUGCUAUAAAGUUCCUAUACAGAACACAGAAAAGAGACAUGCAUAGAGCUUUAUUCGAAAUCAGACUACAGAAAUUGUUUGGAUACUAUAUGGGAUUGUAUCUAUGCAUCUACUACUAACUUGAUAUGACACAACUAAGGUAUGUUUUCAAGAACUGAUGAAAUUUUUAUCAAGUGAUGCUUAAGUGCAUCAGGGUUGUACAUGAAUUUGAUUAAAGCAUGUUGCCUUGGUAUUCUAAAUAAGGAUAUUCUGUGAUGAUCACAUGCCGGUAACUAUAGUGAUAUGUCACCAAAAUGCUUCAAUUUUGAUCUGGAAUAUCUUACAUAUGUUGAUAAUCAUUGUGUACUUGUUGUUACAAUUUGCUUGUGUAAAAUUUAGUUAACAAGAUAAAAGAUAUCUCCCAAAAUGAAUCUUGUUAAAUUUUCAUUAAAUUUUACUGUAUGCAUAGUUGGUGUGUUUCUUCAAGCCUUGUGCUCGAUGAACUACAGGAACCAACUUUGAUCUUGGAUCCUUGGGGUGUCUUGGUGGUACAUGUUGAACACAGUAAAUUGCUACUAGGAUCUCUCAUUGAUUAUAAAGGUUAAGAUCAAGAAACUUGUGUUGUACACAUUAAUUUCAUGACUGUAUCUCCCACAGGAGGUUUAAACUUUACAUGGAUUUAAUUUGCGCAUACAGGUUAUACAGCACAUCACAAAAUUGAUAAAAUGCAUUUGUUUUGCCAAGAUCUUUUCUUCUUACCAUACAUGUGUUGACUGAUCUUAACACUCUUGUUCAUUUUGGGUCUUGUGAUUAAGAAACUUCAGAAUGUCAUGCCUCCCCAAUGUGUUUUUACAUACCUGCUUCGAUUUGUUCGAUAUAUGUGUUGCAUUAAUACUUGUUUUACAGCGCUGGGAGCAUCCUGGUAUGCAUCUGUCUAUGUUUUGAGAUUUUAUUGAACUUUGUUUCAAUUCAAUUGCAAGAACCCUAGAUGAUCUCCUGGGGGGUACUUAAGCUUUAGGAUAGAUGCCCAGAUGAAACUUAUCAUAUAGAUUUAGGUGUUGGAAAACCAUUGUUGAUGAUUCUGAAUUGAGUGAAAUGUGUUUGUAGUCUAUGUAGACUGAACUCUUAUGGAAUUGUUUGUGGUGUGCCUAUACCUACUAUAUGAUGUUUGAUAACAUGUAAUUGCUUAUGUGAUUCUUGGACAUAAAAUGACUUAAAUAAAUUCUCCCUGUUUGAAAAAAUUUAUGUUUAAAGAUAACAUAAGUAAAAGACUGAGUUUUCUUAUGAGAUGAAAAUCUCAUGGAUAUCAAAACGAAGGUUAUCAGUCACUGUUUUAGAAUCAAAAUGAGUGUUUUAAAUUUCAUAAUGCACACAGCAUAGUUGUUUAUGAUACUCUAUUUGGUUAUAAAGACACUAAAACAGGAAACUUGCAUAAAGUUGUUUAGAAUGCUUUCGUAUCAUCCACAGAUGGCUUUAAACAAUGUAAUUCUAAGCAAUUUUUAUGGUUUUGUAUGUCAUGUUUGAAGUGCAUAAGGAUGUAUAGUUGGACAUUUUCUUUUGCCAUACAAGUAUUGACUUGUCUGAUUAUAAAACGUACUUUCACACAUGAUAGGACAGUAAAGGAAAAUAAGGAAUGACCAAGUGCUUUACCACACAGGUAUGUUAUUGAAAAGAAAGAUGCAUAAGGAAAAUAUCAUCUAAAUUGAUAUACAUUCUGCAUUGUUUUGUAUUGAAUGUAUAUGAACUAUUAUGAAUUGAUAUGGAUUAUAGUCUUGUUUGUGAUUCUGGUUUUGUUUUACAGUGGUUAAACUUUAGACAAAUAUUUUCUAUAUAUAUUAUAUAUAGGGGGAGAAUAUUUCACAAUUCAGUUGCAUGCUAUUUACUAUAAGAGCAUUUGUCUUUUGGAAUGAGCAUAUUCAUGAAUCACUUGAUUAUUUACACUUUGUGGCUCUCACUAUAGUCCAUUAUGGAUUUUCAGAUAGCUAGAGAACGGUGGGAGCAUUGUUUACACUAUUUAUUGUUUAUUAGUUUUCUAGACUAAAUAUCUUGAGCUUAAAAACUUGGCAUUCUGCCUCUUUUGUUGAAAUGAAUAAGUUCAGACUUUUGAUUACAGUAAGGUUGUUGAAUUAUGAAAUUCAUGUUAUGAGCAUUAACAUGCUAUAAGAACUGUGGUAUGUGAUUUUGCUUAUAAAGAAAUUAUGUAUAUAUGAAAUAUAUAUAUAUAUAUAUAUAUACAUGCCUUUUCAGAUAUGGACCUCCGUAUUUAUUCAAAAGGUACGGAUUUUCUUAAUUGACAUACUUUUCGAUCAUAUUUUCUCAUCUCAACCAUUCAUCUUUUAGGUAUAUAUGAGUACGUAGAUUAUCUCUACAAAAUUUUAGCAAAAUUGAUAAUCAUUAAGGUAUUCAAAUUUGUGAAUUACACGAACGGUUCAUGUUGAACAGAUUUGGUUCGUUCAUUGUAAUCAUAUAGUUUCGAUACCUUAACGAUUAUCAAUUUGGCUGAAAAUUUGUAGAGAUGAUCUACACAUAUAUACCUACAAUGUGAAUGGUUAAGAUGAGAAAAUAUGAUCUAAAAGUGGGUCAAUUAAGAAAAUCCGUACCUCUUGAAUAAAUACGGAUAUUUGAACCUGAUAAUAUCUAGAAUUAAAUUCAGUUUACCCCCAUGAAGUUUGGGAGUAACUUCAUGUUAAUCCCUAUACUUUCAAUUUCAUCAGUUUACCCCUCAAACUUUUGAAUUUUCCUCAAGCGUGACCAAAUGUCCUAUAUUCUGUCCAAAUCGGACGUUAACUACUGAUAAUUUUAACCAUAACUGUGAGGCCAGUAUCUAGAAUUUGGGCAAAUCGGACCUUAUAUGUCCAAAUCGAACCUUAACUGCUGAUAAUUAAAGGUCAAUUCAAACGGAAUAUGAGAAUUUGGGCACGGCAGACAUAAAUUGAAGAGUUCAAGGGGUAAACUGAUGAAAAUAAAAGUGUAGGGACUAACAUGAAGUCACCCCCAAACCACAAGGGGGUAAACUGAAUUUUAAUUNNNNNNNNNNNNNNNNNNNNUAUAUAUAUAUAUAUAUAUAUAGAGUCCGGAUCUAGAAAGGACCUCCUUAAACUCUUAAAGUGAGGAUGUUUUUAGUUCUACCAUGUAUUUUGACAAUCAAAGCCACUCAUUCCCUAGUUACUUACCCACGCGCAAAUAUGAAUCCAACAAAAAAUUAGCCAAAAUGAAAAACGUUUAACCAUUUGAUUAGCACAAUAUUCGUUUUAAUUUUAUCUAACGGCCUACAAUUGUGUACGUCAAUUUGAAUGACCAAAUGAUUAUGGAAUUAGUUGAAAUUUUGUAGACAUGUUUUUUGCAUAUGAAUCUAGAGGAUCAACGGUUGAGAUAGUUAAAUGAAGUCAUCUACUAAUGUAAAAUAGUAGAAAUCUUUAAAUUCUUAAAGUAAGGAGGUUCUCUUUAGAUCCUCCCUAUAUAGUUUUUAUCAAGAGCGAAGCUUCGCUCUGAAAUUAAAGUGUGAAGUUCUUUAUUUGACUCACUUUUUCGUCAUAUUUCCACAUUUCCACCGUUCAGUUUGUAGAAUCUAAUGCAUAGAUCACUUAUGCAAAGUUUCAUCUAAUUUGAUGAUCGUUUGGGUUUUCGUAAUCGUUAUUUACACAAACAGUUCUGGUUAGACAAAUUUAUGGUCCGUUCAUUGAUUUGAUCUAAUUUAGUACCCAAACAAUCAUCAAUCUUAAUGAAAUUUUGUAGAAAUGAUCUAUACAUUAGUAUCAAUAAUCUGAACGAUGGAGAUAUGAAAAUAUGAUGAAAAAGUGAGUCAAAUAAGAAACUUCACACUUUAAUUUCAUAGCGAAGCUUAGCUCUAGAUAGUAACUGUGUGUGUGUGUGUGUGUUGCAUCAUUAUGCCUGUUAAAGGAACACAAGAAAAAGGUGCGUCUAUUGCCACCCCACAAACCAUUUUGGUUACCCCACACGUUGUUGAUUUAUUGAAUGACUAAUAUACAUUAAUGUAAAAUUACAGCAAUGGACAAUAAGUUGUUACAAAUUACAAAUUUCCUCUUUUUAGAAAAACAUAUAUUUCAUAAACCUUAACCAGAAUUUAUCAUAUUCAAUAUUUCUAAAAAUUCGAUAUUUCUAAGAAGUCUGAAGAAGACACUAGCAUUCAACUGAGGAUGAGGUGAACUGUUUGUAUUUUUUUUUCUUCUUUUUUUUUCUUUGUUGAUGCUUCGUCUAUCCAUUUACCCAUUAUUUCUCAUAUCGAUUUUGUAUGUAAAUUUUCAUGUCUAGUCGCUCACUUAUAUAUAUUCGAUNNNNNNNNNNNNNNNNNNNNNNNNNNNNNNNNNNNNNNNNNNNNNNNNNNNNNNNNNNNNNNNNNNNNNNNNNNNNNNNNNNNNNNNNNNNNNNNNNNNNNNNNNNNNNNNNNNNNNNNNNNNNNNNNNNNNNNNNNNNNNNNNNNNNNNNNNNNNNNNNNNNNNNNNNNNNNNNNNNNNNNNNNNNNNNNNNNNNNNNNNNNNNNNNNNNNNNNNNNNNNNNNNNNNNNNNNNNNNNNNNNNNNNNNNNNNNNNNNNNNNNNNNNNNNNNNNNNNNNNNNNNNNNNNNNNNNNNNNNNNNNNNNNNNNNNNNNNNNNNNNNNNNNNNNAAAUCAUGACUUUAAGGACUAUUUAGAUUAAAAUAAAACCAUAAGGACUAUUUGGAUGAAAAAUCGUGACUGUAAGGACUAUUUAGAUUAAAAUAAAACCAUAAAGAUUAAACAGAUGUCGACUUCAAACCAUAAGGACUAUACAAUAUUUUACCCCUAAGAAAAUGAAUCGGAAUGACUAUUUGGAUGAAAAAUCAUGACUUUAAGGACUAUUCAGAUUAAAAUAAAACCAUAAGGACUAUUUAGAUGAAAAAUUGUGACUUUAAGGACAAUUCAUAUUAAAAUAAAACCACAAAGAUAAACAUAUGUUGACUUCAAACCACAAGGACUAAACAAAUUUCAAUUCUUUUUUUUUCAUCGGUGUCAGAGCUUUUUUCAAGUAGAGCUUUUUUCCAUGUGCAUCUUAUCGACGGAUACCAAUGUUGUUAAGUUUGAGAGUUUUUUUUUGUUCUUUAAUUGUGAUUUAUACUUUAAUAUGAUUUUUAUUGUUCAGUUUGUGAUUCCACUUACCCAAAUGAUAGUAAUCUUAUGGUUUUCUUCAAUUUCAUUUUGUUUUUGGAGUUCAAUGGCUAUUGGAAGAGACUGAUAUUGUGUGUAUUACAAAUCGGUGAAUAAAGUAAAUUUAAAAUUAAAAAAAUAUAUAAGCCGGGUGAGAAGAGAUCGAAUGUAGGGUGAAUAAAGUAAAUAUGAAAUUGAAAAAAAUAUAUGUAGGGCGAAAAAAGAAUUUAGGGUGAACAAAACAAAAAUGGGAAAAAUGUAUUUUCGGUAUUGUAAAUGGGUGAACAAAGUGGACUUACAAUUAAAAAUAUAUAAGUGGGGUGUGAAGAGAACGUGGGUUGAACAAAAUGGUUUGUGGGGUGGUAAUAGACGCACCCACAGGAAAAUUUUCUUUGAAAGUUUGUGUUGAGGUUCUUGCAUACAGAACCAUAGAAUGGAUUGCUUUGCUCAAGUGUUUGAUUAUCACCAUUUUCAUCAGGAAACACUUUGGCAAUUCUGUCAUCCCUGAUUGGUCAUGUAUUACAUUUAGAGUCGUGUCGGUGGUCUUUAAGUUACUGAGUUCAAUGAAUGCAAUUUUUCUGGACAUCUGGCAUUUCUCUUUUGUGAUGACAGAUUGAUAAUGUUUGUAUCAAACAUGUGAAAUUUUAAUCUCAAGUGCACAAAGGAACAGUGUUAUAUCUAAACUCAAUAUGAAUUCUUAUUACAGGCUCUAAUGGAGAAAUUUUGAAAAAUGACCUAUUGUGGUUGUUCUAGGAUAUUCUGUAUCUUUCUAGAUAUUCUUUAUGUGUGCCUUGCCUUAUGCCAAUAGGAUAUGUAGUUUGACUAGAUCUAUGUAUUCAUAUCCUAACCAUAUUGGUAUUGUGUAAUUCCCUAUAUAAAUGGCUCAUAUCAAUGAAUAAGAUGAUGAUUCUCUUGUUAUCUCUUUGUCUCUACACUUUAUCCUUCAUCACAUUAUCAUGCACUUUGUUCUAACCCUAGAACUAAUAGCCCACCAUUUUUUUUCCAAACCCUAAAAACCAAAACCGGAGGUUCUCGGCCCUGCCUCGGCCGCCGCCGCCGUUGUCGCUUCCCGGCCGUCCACUCUGCUGCUUUUUUUUCAUCCGAUCAAGCAUCCAAGUGUUUACAGUAUGUUUAUUUUACAACCCUAAAACUCUUCCAAGUUCAAUAACCUCGGGGGAGAUAAAGUGCUUUCUCCCCUUCUUCUACUCCAUUCUAUGCUUGGGUCGGUGUAUUUGCAGGUGCCAAAAAUCCCGAAAUUUUAUUCGCGGGUCAAGAGUGUGUUUGAUCACUCUUGUUUCCUUGUCCGGGUUGUGUAUGAUCAACCCCAACCUAUCACCGGAUUGUGUUUGAUCAAUCCAAGGCCUUUUUCCGAAUUGUGUUUGAUCAAUUCGUGGCUUUUCCGGAUUGUGUAUGAUCAAUCUGAAGGACAAACCAUUAAAAGCAUUGUUUGUGACCUCUAUCAAGUCUCAUAACAGCUUGGUUUUGUAUGCAAGAGCAAUGUAACAUUCUGCUCCUUUGAGUUUUGACGUACUCGAUGCCUAAGGCGAAUCUUCGCUUGGUAUCUGUGGAACCUUUCAUUGGAAAUGAUUAAACCACAUGUUUUGACCCCCAGGUUAACAAGCUUAGAUGCCGAGAUUUCACAUCUCAUGCGCUCAAAGUCUUUGACGCGCUACAUCGACAAAAGUCUUCAAUGACAAUCUGUGCAAAAAGUAAUGACCACAAAAUACUGUGGAAUGCACUCAUGAAGCGUUUCUCGAAACGUUCAUAUAACUCUACUUGUUGAGUUAUUAGUCAACUGGAUUGCUUACCACUUUAAUUGACUACAUAUUGUCGAUGAUAUUUUGUGGCAUCAUGAUCCAUAAUCUUUAGCGGAUUCGAUCAUCAUCAAGUUCUCUAGGUCCUCUAAGUUGGUUUGGAAUUACCAACGAGACUUGAUUUUGAUCAUACAAAUGGGAAUUGUAUAUACGCUAAUGUGAUAAACUUAUUUGGGAUUAUCCCCUAAUGUGGGGACAACAAUAUGGGUCAUGGCAACGGUAGAAAACGUUGUGCCGAUGUCUAGAAAAGAGGGGGAGGUGUCGCCGGCUCUAAUAGCGACACUCCCGGUCUAGACAUCAUUUUGUCAAAACUACUCACGUCAGCUCAUGACAAUGCAACCGUUGUGGAUCUUCGGAUCACUGGUUCAAGAUUGUCCAGCUCCUUCAAAUUGUGAAUGCAUACAAAAAGAUACGGAAAAUCAAUAUGAGGACAAGAACGUCAUCCUCAUGAUCGCGAAUUUCAAAGAUUCGGAUCCUGCUCUAGCUACCCAUGACUUUGACGUCAUCUGUCACAUCCCGACCCUUAUAUUUUUACCUUAUUUACUAGCCUGAUUAUAAUAAAAAUUUUACCGUCUCGAUCAUUGAGUAAAUAGUUUAAUUGGUCCCUAGAGGGGUUUCGGGGACGAUUAUGUGCGGAGAAUUAUUAGUAUGAGGAAAAUACGACGACGGUAAAAAUGGUAAAUUUUAGCUAGUAAAAGGUAAUUUUUAUUCGGGUAUUAUUUUUUCGGGGUGUUUUUAUUUUUUUGGAAGUGGGUUGAUAUGGGUUGGACCGGUGGAGGCCCAACCCAUUUUCUUUUUCCUCCUCCCUUUCUCUUUUUCCGUCUUUUCUUUUCCUCUCCCCGAGCCUCCCGCUGCCCGGUUUUCCGGCUGUCCUCCCGCCGCCGUCCGACCUCCGUUCGCCGCCGGACCGGUCCCGUUCGGUCGGUCUCCCUCCCAGCAACAUUUCUAGACCGGUGAGAGGAGCCCUAGCGCCGCCGUGAGAGAGCGGUGCCGCCCGAAAGCAAGGGCUGUCCCGAACUUCCCUUCGCNNNNNNNNNNNNNNNNNNNNGUCCUUCGUCUAUUUGAGACAUCGAUGUACUCACAUUAGCAAUAAUGAAUUCCUUGAGAAUUUUUUCGAAGUUAUGAAACUAUUCUCCUCUUAUGGUUUGUAUUGAUUUACAAACAAGAUGUACAUUUUUACAUCGUCCUUAGAAGCGUGGCAUAUUUACAAUCUCAUGGUUAGAUUGUGCCGUUUUGGUCUCUUCCAAGUGAAGAUGACUCAUGACACGACAUCCUUAAAGAGGAUCGCCCACGUGUUUCCGGUUAAGUCUUCUACCCUAUGACGGAUUUUCAAUCAUCAAUUGUUCAACUAGGCUCAUCCAAGCUCAGUGUGAUGUCUUAGAAUUGUCCGAAAUUAAGGAGAUAGUGGUUUUAAGUGUGCCUCGCACUACCGACCCUCCACGGACAUGCCUGGUCAUACUGACUUGGAGUUGCCAAAAGCUUUUGAUUUUGGAUCCCCCUACGCUAUUAAACCAAUUGCCGUCUUGUAAAAGACGUUGAAGACUUAUCAAAGCCGGAAAAUUAUCAUCAUGGUCCUCUGAGUUAGUUUAUGUUCAUGUCAAGGAGCUUUUGCUAACUAGUCAUGGAGUUUACAACCUUAGAACGACCGAAAGGACUUGGUUUUGAUCAUACACACGUCAUUUUUGGCUAAGGCAAAAGCCUACACACCACCUGCAAGCUUCACAACUUCGCACAUGUCAAUUCUGCGAAAAACAGCAAUCUGUCCCUUCUGGACAGUAUUCAUUUGAGCUUUGUGAACAGCUCUGGACGAACCAGGCAGUGAGCUUUAUACCAUUGGAAAGCUCUACGAGUAUAGUUUUCAGAACUUUUCGCGGUUCAUCCAUAUCUAUUUUAACGAAGAAGUUAUGGUUGUUUUAGUGCGCAAAGGUCAUUCUGUGCGGAAAUUUUUAUGCACUAUCGGGAUUGCAGUUUUUCGUAGCUUCUUUCAAUCCUUCUAAAUAGUUCAAGUGGAACUAUUAACUAGCCUAUCUACUCCUUCUUGUACAUAUGUCUCAUCGAGACAUUGAGUGCUUCGCAGAUAGUGGAACUAUCCACAACAUUCUAAGGAACCGGCAACUAUCUUUGGAUUUUGUGCCUUUGUAAAUCUUCUGUGACUACAAUGAUUGAAUCAUACAUGUCAUUCAAGGAUACGGUUUAGCUUGAAUCUUGAUGCCUCAUGGCACCAUGAUCAAUGUCACAGAUACCUUCUAUGCAUUGAGAGGCAAUCAAAUCAUAUUGAGCUUUAAAGACAUUCAUGUUAAUAGUUUUCAUUUGAAAACAUAUUGUGAGAAUGAACAAGAAUUCUUUUGUGUAUACCUUCUCAUGAAUGCGGACUGAAAUGCAUCUUAGAGAAAUUUAUGAGUUAAUCUAGUGGACUGUAUGUCACUACGAUUCGAAUAUCGAAUCUCAUGUUGUCGCCAAACAUGAUAUUUGGGACACCGACUCAUAUAGGCUUUGGUUUGACCAAAUUGGUCAACCUGGAAGAGAUAUAAUGGUCCAAAUUUUGAGAAAUUCUCAUGGACAUCCAUUCUUCUGCUCAAAACGAAGACAUUUGAGAUCUAGCAUCACCAUGAAGCAUGGUGGUGACCCGGGGGACAUUGACGUCACCCGAACACAACUCCAACUUCUUGGAGGUCGUCCAGUCAAUUCCUCAAGCAAUUGAGGUGCACCAGCCUUCUCUCGAUGUCGCAUUGGCCCCCUGCAAUACUCAUUACUCGUUUUGAAAGCCUAUUCUUUAGCUAAAUUAGGAGUGAGACCCUCCUACGCUAAAUGACACAAAAGAGAAUAUUCAAUUCUUACAUCAAACUAUAUAGAUAGAUACAACCAACUUGCGGACACCUUUUUAUGCUUCAUGGUGUUGGUUGAAGUGUUAACACACUGGUCACAUGUUACACUAUUAUCUACUGCUUAUGCUGCUUAUACUUCUACGGGCUCACUACCCAUUCUUUAAAGAAGUUUAUCGGGAUGUAAGUUGAAGUGCCAUGUACCCCAUGUUCACACGCAAUACGGUCUCACCGAGGUUACGACCAAGCAACUUUAGCUUGUCGCUCGAACAUUAUUGAUGCGCACCAAUCUUUCUAUUGCGUCUUGGGGCUAUGCAAUAUUUGCAUGUAGUUUUACUAUUCAUCUACAACUCACCAUCAUUGAAUAUUGUUGUACUACAGCUGGUGACUGUGUACUAGGAUUGACACGAAAUUGCAAUCCUUGAGCUUGGCAAGAUUGAAACGGAUCUCCAAUCCUUGAGCUCAGCUAGAUGUUUAUUCUAGGUGCCAAAUCGCACUGCCACCGCACACAAUGAUGGGUCAUUUGAGAUGAAUAAGUAUUUAGGUUGGAUGUGAACCUCCACCUAUAAUCCGCAUAUGUAGAAACCUUGUCAGGCGAUCUCUUUCACCACUAUAUUGCGGAUUGUCACUUUGAUGAGACAAUAUUCCCGCCGUUAGGGGGAGAUAAGAAUACAAGUGUUCAAGUGGAACGACGUGAAUUGUCGUGGUUUGUCCCCACUAAGUCUCAUCUUGAUCCCAAAUGCUUAAAGUGUUAAAGUGACGAGAUCACAUGCUGCAAAUAUGUCUGCAAGGAUUGAUGUCCCAUCAAGAGGACAUGGCGCGACCAAAAGGUGUUGGUCUUGACGCCAUCACCAUGGAUGGUGAUAUAGUGACGUCAUAUAGUGGCAAAAUUGGUGUCACAAGGCCGUGUGGCUCCCUAAAAAGAGGGAGACCCUUAGGUUUGAUACUUUCUCACACUAGGAAGAAAGCGAGCUUGGCAUAACUUGAUCCAUUGAUCAGUGAUACUCAAAUCUGUCUCAUGAAAUCUGAAUUGUGAUUAUCGUUGGGGGAUGCCUCAAUGUCAAAUCCAAUCCAUGUAGAGAUCUCUACAAGUAUUACACUAAUGUAUACGAGGACGUGGGAUAAUGAGUCUACUAUCGAACCACCCUUUGUUGAUGGAUAUCAACUUAGUUGAUUGGCCUAAUGGAAAGAUGCGAUCUAGCAUUAACAAAGAGAUAGGUCCUUGGGCAGGUGAUGCCGACACCGCAAGCUAAACCCUAUCAACUAUGUCUUUGUUAGAUAGCGUAGUGAGAACUUUAUGGCGUAAGGUCUCUCACUAUCACGCACUGGGAUCGACUAUGAUGAGAUAUGCUCUCGUAAUGGAUGUCAUUGAACUCCACUACUUUGUCAGUUUGGUAGUUUCUGAAUAACUGAACAUGCAGCCUAUGAAUGUGAUCAUAAUAACAUCUCUAUGGGAUCAGAGAUAUACAUGAAGGUCUUAAACGGACUUCAUUCAUCCGAAUCAAGUGGUUCCUAACCACAAGAGCAUGCGUUUGCUAAAUGUAUUAAAACGCACAUGGACUCUACUUGAUUUGGAAGGGAUAUGGUGAAUUAUGCCUUUGCGUGUUCAUUCCAGAUUUACAUGGAUUCUUGAUGGAUCAAGAGAUGCCAAUAUGUAUCAACAUCCGAAGAAAAAGAUCUUGGGAAGACACGGUCUCGAUAAGGCAGUCGAUGACUGUAUUGAUGAUGAUGUUCCAUCAAUCGGCUUAGACGCUCUAACGAAAGUGAGGCCUACAUAUACUCCCAUGAUUAGUCAAGGUCUUUGCUCUAAAGAGAGAUCCAUUAUUUUGUCUAAAGAAAAAUGACAAAUAUGUGUUAAGAGAUGGAGUUCUCAUCUAAGUACAAUAAAACGCAUCAAUGUACUCAACACAAUACGAAAGACUUGACAUCUCAUUCGCUAUGAAAAGUUGUAAAGCUAAAUGUAGCUAUGCGCCCACGCAACGCCAAUGUAAUGGCAGUAACUCUUUUUUCAAUACUUAAUGGUAUGAAAGGUUAAGGCUUAUUCUAUCCCUUCAUAAGAAAGACACAUCAAAAGCGAAAUCAGAAUCUGCCAAGUUUUGUAGGUCAACUUCCACGGGACCUACAUGAAAUCUAACUCACUGGAAAAUUGUGAAAUUGGUACCAUUGGAAAGGUCUAUGUGUCUACUUUCCAGGGACACCAACCAUUUGAUCAUACCUAUCAUAUUGAGUGAGUUAUGGCCAUUUUCGUAAAGUAGGACGAAUCUGUCCGAGAAUCUGAUUUUGGCAAAACAGUCAACUUCGACGGGACUUUGUGAAUAGCUCCUGACGAACCAGAACGUGUGUAAUAUACGGUUGGAAAGCUCCAUGAGUCUAGUUUCCAAAACCGUUUACGGUUCAUUCAUAUAUAUAUCGUAGAGGAAGUUACGGCUAUUCUAGUAACUAAAGGUCAUGCUACGCGGAAAUCUAAUUUACUGCACGAACUUAUGUCUUGAGUUCACAAGCGGCCUUCUCCUCAAGAUCUAAGUGUAAAAGAUCAUUUGAUGACAAUACGGCAUGAUUUAGUUAAUCAUUGCCUAAUACCACAUUUGAAAACAUGUUAAAAAGCAUUGACAUGCUAAGUUGUUGAAACUUCCGUGAUUAGUAAAAAUUAGGAAGAACCCUAUGAUUGAUGUAAAGAUCAGGGGGAGGUGCGAACUUCAGGGGGAGUUUAGCACAUACAUUCAUGUCGCUAUAAAAUGUGAAGGGUGCGUUGUACUCUUUUUCUCCUACGAUCAAGGUUAAGCUUUUGUCCCAUAGGGUUUUUAUGACUUGACGAGGUUUUUGAUGAGGCAACAGAUAUUCUUUAUGUGUGCCUUGCCUUAUGUCAAUAGGAUAUGUAGUUUGACUAGAUCUAUGUAUUCAUAUCCUAACCAUAUUGGUAUUAUGUAAUUCCCUAUAUAAAGGGCUCCUAUCAAUGAAUAAGAUGAUGAUUCUCUUGCUAUCUCCUUGUCUCUACACUUUAUCCUAAACCUAAACCAUAAACCCUAAACCCUAAACCCUAAACCCUAAACCCUUAGAGCUAACUUAGGUGACGAAAAUACAUUUCGUCAUGUAAGUGAUGGGUUAGGUAACGAAAUAUAUUUUCGUCACCAAAGUUUUGAGCAUUUAGGUGACGAAAAUACAUUUCGUCAUGUAAGUGAUAGGUUAGGUGACAAAAUAUAUUUUUGUCACCAAAGUUUUGAGCACUUAGGUGACGAAAAUGCAUUUCGUCGCCUAACAACUUACUUUUGUGACGAAAAUAAAUUCGUCGUCUAACACCUUUGCUUAGGUGACGAAACAUAAAGUUGUGUGUCUUUUUGAACCAACUAUGGGGUAGAAGUAAAAUUUAGAAAACCCAUCAUACUAUAUGAUCAGUGUACUUAAAUACGGCUAUGAAAAAAAAUCCACCAGUUUUCGAAAACAUUAAGGUCUCGAUCCACGCGGUUAACAUUAAAUUAACGGCACUUAUUACACGAAAACGCUUUUACCUACUCCUAUACGACCUAGUUUGAUUGAUUCUUUCACACACAAAACUCUCACAUUGAUGAGAUGUAAUGACCCAUGUAAAAAUUUGGGGACGUUCACCUCUUGACGAUAGAGCUCCACAUAGAGAAACAUAAGCGUAUAUAGGGUUAACCGCUUGUAUCGGGGACCAAACGUUACCAGAAAUAUAUGAUUUUUCAACCAUAGUCGUAUUUCACCAUACCGAUGACAUCCUAUUUCAAAAGAUUUUUGAAAAUAUUGCUUUACAAAUAUCUACACUUGCAUGUAACCUACUAAACAAGUUAGACCACAUUAGUAGACAUGUUGUGGUUCCGAUGGCUAAAUUUUACAAAAUGAAAAUUCAACUGUCUGAUAUGAUCAGUGUACUUAAAUACGGCUAUGAAAAAAAAUCCAUCAGUUUUCGAAAAUGUUUAGGUCUCGAUCCACGCGGUCAACAUUAAAUUAACGCUACUUAUUUUACACGAAAACACUCUUACCUACCCCUAUAUGACCUAGUUUGAUUGAUUAUUUCACACACAAAACUCUCACAUUGAUGAGAUUAACCACUCAUGUAAAAAUUUGGGUACGUUCACCUCUCGAUGAUAGGGCUCCACAUAAGGGAACAUAAGCGUAUAUAAGGUUGACUGCUUGUAUCGGGGACUAAACGUUACCGGAAAUAUGUGAUUUUUCAACCGUAGUCGUAUUUCACUAUACCGAUGACAUCCUGUUUCACAAGAUUUUUGAAAAUAUUGCUUCAUUUUUUCUAACAAGAUCACAUUCUAUCAAAACCUUUUUCUUUUUAGGAAAUAAAUAAAUGUGUUGAAAUUAAAAUAAGACGACGAAAUAUAUUUAUUUCAUCAACUAAGUCCCAAAGUUUGAAAAUUUUUGGUUCACUGAGAUGACGAAAAUUUAUGUCUUCGUCACCUAACUACUUAAUAUUUGGCGGGUCGAAAAUUCCGUCAAUUUUUUAGGCCAAAUUUUGUAUUUGACUUAAGUGACGAAACGGCUUCAUUCGUGGGCUGAGUUUGUUUUUGUAAACCCAAAUACAGGGCAACAAGUCCCAUACUCCUAUUAACUCUGAAAUCCCUAAAUCGAUCGUAUCGAUUCCAACUUUCCAAGCCGUCUCCGCCCACAUCGCCGUCGCGUCCACAUUGUCGUCUCUUCCCUUGCUCCAUUGAUCCCAUUCGGCCUCUCCCGCGCUGAUCUCGUCUUAUUCAUCUCCUCAUGGCCAAUUUCUUUGUGAAUUUGGAUUGAUUAGUUCAACGAAGGAGGAGAAUCGAAGCCGAGUAGCUUUCGAAUUUGCAGAGAUUAUUCUAAGUUAAUCAGCAACGCCUUCCAAAACAUGAGGUGAGAGACCUCUAACCUCUUCUACUCGUUGAGUUUCAUAUCUAGGUGUAUUAAUUUUUAGAUUUUGAUCAUGUUCUGAACAAAUUGGUUUUUGGGUGUUAUCGGUUAUCGGCAGAGUUAUCGUCCUCGGCGGAGCUCCUAAGUUCUUCUUCCAUGUCUAGAAAGAGUAUUGGCAUCUUGUCAAGUUUGAUCAAUUGCUGAGAAGGUUGAAUUCGUGAGUUCGAGUAGUUUUUGCCACCACUGCGCCACCGUUUGUGGUGAAGGCCUAAGUUCCUUCUUCAGCUUGAUUUGCAUUAUGAAUUGUGUACUGAUGUUUAAUUAUGACUUAAAUCACAGAAGCUGUAUGUUUGAUGAUUUGGGUCAAGUUUCUGUUAAGGACUUUUGGGGUUGCUUCAUUAUGGAUGCAUGAACAGAGCAGGGGAUUGCUGUACAAUCUACAUCCAGAAUUAAUACUGAGUCUGGGGUAUCACUGUGUUCACCACUGAAUCUAAUUAAGGUGAAGGUGAGCUUCAAAUUUAUAAUCAUGCAUGAGCUACAAGUGUUUAAUAUAAUACUAUUAAGUAUUGAUUCGGGAAUUUGGAAAUGGAUUAUGUGAAUGGUAAUGGUUGAUUGAGUAACAUAGAAUGUCAUAUUGGGAAGGAAGAAUGUUUUAGAUUAAUCACAAGGGUGUGAUUGGUGAGACCAUGAGAGCUUGAAUAUAUUCAUGUUUGACAUUCUGUAUGAGUGGCUGGGCAUAGUUGUGCCUUUUUUAUUUGUUAAAUUGUUAUCAUUGGAGGAAUGGAGUUGAACUUCAGUAUUUAAAUUUGGUCUAUUGAAGAUGACAUACUAGUCAUCAAGAAUGAUACUGAAAUGGUAGUAAUGAUCUUCUUUGAGCUAUAUGACUAAGUUGGUAAGUUGCAACUUGGUAUUCAUGACUGGUCGGUAUGAACAUGUACCUAAAAGGUCUCAUGGAAUUUGAAUGAUAAUUAUAAAUUGGGAAUGUGGUAAUAGGGAAUUAAAAAUCAAAUUGGGAGUGUUAAGGACUUUCAAUAUGGUUAGUUUUCAUUAACUUGCAAAAACAUGGUUAAAAAUCAAUUUGAAUGCCUAAAAAGGAUUAUUAUUCUUCAAAAUUUGAGUAAAUUUUGGAUAUUGGUUUCUGGGUUUUGAGCUUUAGCAUUUAGGGUGAUGAGUAGGUUCAAUAUGAAACUAUUUUAACUCUGUGUAGGAGGCUUAUUGUAUACUGAGAGUUGAUGCGACUGACUUUAACUAUGUGAAAUUAGUAAAAAGAAUAAAGUUGAGUCCUUGGCAUCAGUAUUUUAACUCUAGAGCAUCUUAAAUUGAGUCCUUGGCAUCAGUUUAGCUGCUACUAACCCUCUUCUUACGAUAAUAUGAAUGAUUCUGUGUUAUGUAUAUGUACAUUGUACAAUCACCAAUUAACUAUGUAUGACUGACCAAGAAUGCCUCAGGAACUCACCCUAGCCUGCACUUUCCCAUCAACUCCAACCAUAUCCUUCCUUUUCGUACUGGGUCAUCACUUUUGUUCCUCUCCUUCUUCCAUGCCUAUAUUUUUUUCCUAACACAUACUGCUCAUUUCUUUGUUCUUUUCUCUUCCAAACCUGUAUAUUUUGUAUGGCUUCUCCCCUCUUAUUUCAUUUGUUUUGCACAGUAGCCAGUGUGUUUAGUUAGUACGAUUAAAACCGAUUAAUUAUUGUAUUGUUUUUGCAUUUUCAUUAUGUUUAGUUACAUGUGUCUUUGGCUAACUAAUACUAGUUGGUGUGUUGUUUUUCUUCUGUUGUGCUUCCCUAAUGAAUUGGUUCUUGCUUUGCAUACAGAUCAUGAUCAUGUCUUCAACAGUGUGAGCAGUUUCUCUUCACCAAAUUCGGCGUAUGCCAGCCAACAGUCCCACCCCAGGAGUAGCCUAAUGAUGAUGAUCAUGAUGAUGGAGGCAAUGAUUCAAUUAACAUUGCUUCAUAGUCACUUUCAUAGUUACUAGUUUAUUUUCUAAUAUAUAUUUUGUAUAUAUGAACAAGUCUAUAUUUUCAAGUACUACUCUUGAGUUUGUAUAUGAACUUGAUUAGGAAUAUAUAUAUAUAUAUUUGCUACUGCCCCAGGUGCUUUGGCCAAUAGUGGGUUUUUGAAAUAUUGAGUUCUUUUUUUUUUUAAUUUAUUUAUGUUAAUAUUAAAUGUGAUAUUAAUAAUUUUUAAUGAUUAAAUUUAUUAAAAAUAAAUAGCACUAAGGUGACGAAAGUUAAACUUUCGUGGCCUUAGCCGGAUGAAAGAAUUGUCAGCAAACUGACUGUUUUCGUAGUGUAGUGUUUUGGUAACGAUGAAUUUCAUCAACUUAGCUGGUCACACUACGUCACAAUAGAUCAUAGACCAUGAAUUAUAUUUCGUUUCUCAAGUACUAUGGCGACGAAAUACUUUUCGUCAGCUAACCAACUUGGUGACGAAAUAACUUUCGUCAGCUAACCAACCUGGUGACGAAAUUUUUUCGUCAUCUAAGUAACUUGGUGACGAAAAAGUUUUCGUCAUCUAAGUAAUGACUAAAAUGAUGAAAUACAUAUUUUCGUCACCUAAGUGCUCACACCACCGCCCUUAGGUGACGAAAUUUUCGUCGUUUUAGUGCUUACAUGACGACAGAAGCUCUUAGGUGACAAAAAUAUUUUGUCACCUAAGAACUUUUUUCUAGUAGUGGUUAAACACUCUUCCUUGACUAUCACUCAUUUAUGAUGUUCUUUUACGUAUUUCAAUAUAUUUAUAUCGUUAAUCGAAUAUCUCUCACCUCUCUUUUUCUUCUUUUCCAAAUCCAGAACCAAUCUUUGAUCUUCCGGUCUCUCUUCUCUGCACUUUUUCUCUAACAAUGUUGAGUUUCUCUUGGACCAUUAGUUCAUUACUGAAUUCAAUUAAUAUACAAUCCAAGUGGGGUUUUAGUAUCAACAUAACCCCUUCUAAAGCCAUAAUUAUUUUAUUUACUGUAGGGUUGUUCAUAUAUCAUUUCAAGGUAAGAUUUUUAACAAAAAAUAGUGACGAUUCUUAUAUGACCUAUAUUCAUUGUUGCUCAAUCAAAAUAAAAAAAAUUAGAUAGCAGAAACAACUCAAAAACCUUUAAAACAAUAACCAUGGACUGAGAAUGAAACCUUAGACCAUAAUUAGCACAAUUGAAUAUGAUUGGAACGUAUUCUAAACUAGUGUUGACGGUUGAGUAAGUUCUUGACUUUCUUGUGGUUGGAAGGUCAGUAAAUGUUUUCAUUUGUGAAGUGCAGAAGAAGGAUAAUGACGUGAGAAAAAGAUGAGAAAAACUGGAAUUGGUGAAGCAUCAUUUAAUAUAACAAGGAUAAUUGCGACUUUUCCUCAUUUUAAGUGGUUAUUUCUCAAAAAAAUUUAAAAUUAAGGUUAUAAAUCAAUUCGAGUGUUUAAAUAUGGUUGUUUUUCAAAAUUUCUCGCUCUAAUGCUAGUCCAAGUGGGAGAAUGUUAGAAUGGACUUAGCAUUUUGAGUCCUAAAGCAUGACAACUUCCAUAAUAUAUGCAGAGUAAAUAUUGUGGGAUUAAAAGCACAUUAUCAUGAUAUAUUUAUCUAAAUGAAAUGGUUAGAUAAGUAAUGAAAUACAAUCGAAUUAUCUUGUUAAACAAGAUAAUAGAGAUGGACUAAUAUUGUUGUUUUCUAAUGGAACUCAAACUCUUGGAUGGACAGAGUUGAGCUAUCCAACAUUAUCAUGAUAUAUUUAUCUAAAUGAAAUGAUUAGAUAAGUAAUGAAAUACAAUCGAAUUGUCUUGUUAAAUAAGAUAAUAGAGAUGGACUAAUAUUGUUGUUUUCUAAUGGAACUCAAACUCUUUGAUGGACAGAGUUGAGUUAUCCAAAGUGUAGUAUAUAAAGAGGUCCCUAUGCACACUCUAAACUACGUCAAUACGAGUCUCUCUCCAUCUGAGCAUGGUAACUGAGUGCUGCAUAGAGGAUCCCUUAUCCUUGGAGCUCUUGGUCUACAUCAACGACUACGGUAAACAUGUUGUAUAUCCUCAUCCUUGUUCUAUGACCUUGUAUGAGUUGUAUCUAUAUACGUGUUUAUGCUUAAGUGUUUUUCUCUUUGUGGUUGUAGUAUAACAGCCAAAUAUUUUGGGGUGCACUACUAGAAUAAAGGACUUAGGCGACGAAAACACAACGACAAAAACAUUUUCGUCGUCUAGGUAUGCAGUUAGGCGUCGAAAACUUCAUUCGUCACCUAAAAUAACUUAGGUGACGAACCAAAUAAUGAUUCGUCGCCUUAGAUUACCAAGGAGACAAAAAAAGGACUUAUACUAUUUUCGUCGCCUUAAUAGAUAUUCAGGCGACGAAGAUGAUUUCGCCGCCUAAAAUAUGAACCACUUAGGCGACGAACAUAUUAUUUCGCCGCAUAAGUUUAUCUUAGGCGAUGAAAGUGGUUACUUAUGCGACGAAAAAGUUUCGUCGCCUAAGUAAACUCACUUAAUCUCCAUUCAGUUUCUAGAUCUGAAACAGAUGGGAAAAAAGGGGAACUUGACAAGAUAGCCAUGUCUUGUUGUCAUUAUCUGAUUUUCUCAUUCUCAUUUAAAUAAUUUAGGAUAUAAUUUAUGUAGCCAAUUUUUAUCUUGAUAUAAUAUAACUACUGUUAUGUAUUUUUAUUUGAAACAUAUAUAUUUAUGUUUUUCCAAUGAUCACUUCAUUUAUGUUUUUAUUUGGUAUAACUUGUUUAAUAGGUUACAUGCAAGUGUAUAUUUUUGUGAACCAACUAUAUAUAAGAAGCAAUAUUUUCAAAAAUCUUGUGAAAUAGGAUGUGAUCGGUAUGAUGAAAUACGGUUAUGAUUGAAAAAUCAUAUAUUUCCAGUAACAUUUGGUCCCCGAUAGAAGCGGUCAACCCCAUUUACGCUUAUGCUUUUAUAUGAGGAGCCUUAUCGUCGUGAGGUGAACGUCCCUAAAUUUUUACAUAGGUGGUUAGAUCUCAUCAAUGUGAGAGUUUUGUGUGUGGAAGAAUCAACCAAACUAGGCCAUAUUGGGGUAUGUAAGAGCGUUUUCAUGUAAUAAGUGACGUUGGUUUAGGUUUGACUGUGUAGAUCGAGACCAAAAACCUUAUCCAAAACAUGUGAUAUUUUUUUCCAUAGCUGUAUUUAAGUAUACUAAUUAUAUCAUACGGUUGAAUUUUUAUUUUAUGAAAUUUAACUAUCGGAACCACAACGUGUCUAUUAAUGUAUUAUAACUUAUUUAGUAGGUUAUAUACAAGUGUACAUUUUUGUGAACCAACUAUAUAUAGGAAGCAAUAUUUUUUAAAAUCUUGUGAAAUAUGAUGUGAUCGGUAUGAUGAAAUACGGCUAUGAUUGAAAAAUCACAUAUUUUCUGGUAACGUUUGGUCCCCGAUAGAAGCGGUCAACCCCAUUUACGCUUAUGCUUCUAUAUAGGGAGCCUAAUCAUCGGGAGGUGAACGUCCUUAAAUUUUUACAUAGGUGGUUAGAUCUCAUCAAUGUGAGAGUUUUGUGUGUGGAAGAAUCAACCAAACUAGGCCAUAUAGGAGUAUGUAAGAGAGUUUUCCUGUAAUAAGUGGCGUUGGUUUAGGUUUGACCGUGUGGAUCGAGACCAAAACCUUAUCGAAAACAGAUGAAUUUUGUUCCAUAGCUGUAUUUAAGUAUAUUGAUCAUAUCGUACGGUUGAAUUUUUAUUUGUGAAAUUUAACCAUCGGAACCACAACGUGUCUACUAAUGUAAUAUAACUUGUUUAGUAGGUUAUAUGCAAGUGUAAAUCUUUGUGAACCAACUAUAUAUAAGAAGCAAUAUUUUCAAAAAUCAUGUGAAAUAGGAUGUGAUCGGUAUGAUGAAACACGGCUAUGGUUGAAAAAUCACAUAUUUCGGGUAACGUUUGGUCCCCAAUAGAAACGGUCAACCCCAUUUAUGCUUAUGUUUCCCUAUGGGGAGUCUUAUCGUUGAGAGGUGAACGUCCCUAAAUUUUUACUUUGGUGAUUAGAUCUCAUCAAUGUGAGAGUUUUGUGUGUGGAAGGAUCAAUCAAAUUAGGCCAUAUAGGGACAUGUAAGAGCCUUUUUGUGUGUUGUAGAGUAGCUCUGACGACGAAACUGAUAAUUUAGUCGCCUUAGUAACUAAAUUUGGGCGGGUAGAUAAAAAAUUUGGUCUACUUUAGCGGUGAAAUAUUUCACCUUCGUCGCUUAAGUCUCUAAAUUCGGCGGCAGCAUUUUGCGCUCAAAAUUUGGCCUAAAAUUUGGACCCAUUUUUCAAAACUAGUUUGGGCUGGCAGGGGACAAAAUUUUCGUCUGAUGGUCGCCUAGUGUAGAUUACUAAACCAAAAACUCACCCAAAAUCCCGUAGUGUCGACAGACGCCUCCCAAUUUUCUUCCUCUGCUAUCGAACCCUGCAAACCCUCCCAAUUCCUAAUCGAUCUCCACCCAAUCCCUAAUCAAUCUCCACCCUCAUCUCUCCUCCCAUCUGCGCCUCUCUCUCAUCUCUCCUCCGUAUUCAAUCUCCACCCUCAAACUCUCUCGAGUCUCCCCUCAUCUGCGCCUCUCUCUCAUCCCACCACAAACCUAAACCGAUCCAUAAGAAGGUGAGGGUUUAUGGUUUUUUUUUCAGUUGCUUUUUGGGUUUCAAACUCAAAAUUCCCAAGAAGUAGCUUUGGGUUUGUAAAUACUUCGGUGGAUUUUGGGUUUCUGAAAUUGGAUUUUGGAUUUUGUAGGUUGAGGCUGAGGAGCAGCUUGACAUUUUCGUGGCUUUUUUGGUUUCUGCUGUUCCCUUCUUUGCAAUGAGAUUAAGGUAUAAAAGAGAGGAAUCAGUACCAGCUUUCCUAGGAUUUUAGUUUCAGGGUUUAUUUUCUUGUUUUAUUGUUUAUGGCUUUUUGUGUUCACUGUAUUUGCCUCUGACCCCAUUUGAUCUUAUUGUACUUUGAGGUUAAAUCUAAUCUGUUGAAUCAUUGUGUUCUGCAAAAUUGGGUUUUCUAUAGUUGUGAUUCUGAUCUGGUGGGAUUUGUUAACAUGGUUAUUGUCCUUUUCCCUCAAGCCACUGUCUUUGAUCUAAACUCCCCUGGUUUUGUUGUUGAGGAGAAUCUUAAAGACAUGUAGCUGGAUCUCAAAUUUGGCGAGUACUGAGAAUGGCGAUAAAAAUUUAUUACUGCAGAUUAUGCAUUCCAUCUCAUAAACAAAAUUACUACAUGUUUCACUGAUGUUAGGUUCUUUGUUUCUUCUAGGAUUGGAUAGUUAUCUACGUGUUUGGAAUGUAAAGACGCGGGAACUACUCUCUGCGGUAUGUGUUUGGCUUUUAUUGUUUUUAUGUGACAAAAUUCCCCGAGUGAAAGUAACAGUUGUUGCUAUCUGUUGAAUAAAACUCUUGACAAUGUCUGAUCCGGUUGGAUUUUAUUAUUUCCUAAUUCUUAUAAUGGAAUCAUGUAUGUGAAUCUGUAAUUGUGAGUAUGAGAUUUUCAUUGGUAGACUCCAAUUUGUAAAUAUUGUCAAGAGACUUAUAAUAAAGUGGCUAGACCUAACUUAAAGCUCAAGAAUUCUUAGACAUGAACUGGCUGUUUGGGCACCCUUAGGACUUCGUGUAUAUAGUUAUGCUCUCCUGCAUACAAACAUUGUGAUAUAUAAUUAUCUAUCUAGUAUAAUCAUAGCUCAAGCUGUAAUUGAUUUUGAAAUGUGGUCAGGUGAGUAAUGAUUGAUGUGCACUGCCGCUUUUGGAAUUGUUUAAGGUUAAUUCUCUAGCUUUUUGUCUAAGCUGGUUUUUAGGAUUUAAAUUUGAAUCUAGUGCAUCGGCUCCAUAUCUAUUUCUCUGUUAUCCCUUUUAUGGUUACUGUAGUGUGUGUAUCUACUUGAUGGAACAUUCUGGUAUUUUAUUCAAGAGAUGAGGUUUUCAAAUUUCUUGAAUGACUAUAGAUCCUGAUCUGGGCACAUUCAAAGAUUUGUUAGACUAGUCUUUUCAGCUCAAAGCACUCUUUCUUAGUACCUCUCUGUUUUGAUGUGUUACAAACAAAUUUGGGGUUUUCUUGGACAUGCUUUAGAUUUGAUGUAUUUCCAGUUAAAUGUGUGCAGAUACACAUUUUCGCGGCCAAUAUAAUUUGUUAAGCUUUCUUGUUUAUUUUCCUAGUUCUUUACACUUGCCUCUUUCUUGUGCUUAUUUUCUUCAGGACUCUUGGCCAAUGUAAAUUUAGAAGAACGACCAAAACCAAGCAGCCUCAAGAAAACAGUACUCAUAAGCAAAAAUGCACUGCCCAAAUGGGAAAUCAAUGGAUUUGUGGAGUACAUCUCCGGCGGGCCUCAACCAGGCAGCAUGUAAUUUGCCGUACGUGUUCUUUUCUGUGUUUGCUUAUUCAUUUACUUCAUUUAUAUGACACUUACUGUACUGUACUGGACACUUGCUUUCAGUUAUUGUCGUUGUGUGUUGCUUUGUGUUUAUAUGUUGUUGUGUGUUGCAACAUCUAAGUGUUGUUGUGAAUUGAUGAAAUCCCAUAUGUUAUAGCUAAGUAUUGGUGUGUGUUGAUGUGUUGAAAUAAAGGGGCUUAGGAGAGUUGAAAUUGUGGGCAAGGAAUGAGCAACAAGGCCUUCUUGUCGCAAUGAUAUAGUUCUUGAGGAGAUUUGGGAGCAUGCCCGACAAGCCCAAGAGGAGGCACGACAUGCUUAGGAGGAGGCACAAAAAGCCCGGGAGCAGGCCAGAGUAGCCCAGGAGAAGAUCCUUGAUUAUGAGCGCCGUAUACAGAUGUUGAAGAAGUGUGCAGUCGCAGCCGAGCCGACAAGAAGGCCAACAGUCUAAGGUUGAUGGUUGAAGCUAGGUCCAUAGCUUUUUGCUUUUAUGGAACCCUUGAUAUUUGCUUCUUUUGUUAAACAUUGUCUAUAUAGGAUUGUAAGAGGCUAGGAUAUUAGGGAGGGUUUAAACUAUGAACUUUGAACUUGCUCUUUUGUUUGUGUAUAUAAUACCUCCUGGAAGUUUACUAGUUUUUCAGUUUGAACUUCUUUUGUUAUGAUUUUGAUUUGCAUCACAGGUUUUUAACUUUGAAUGUGAAUUUGAAAAUAUGCACAUAUAAUUACUGUGUGCAUAUCAGUAAUACUUAGAUUUUUUUAAUAAUAUAUAAUUAUAAUUUAAAAACAUAUAUAUAAAAUGUUCAAUUAAGUCUUAUGCGGCGAAAAAUGAGGAACCGUCGCCGGGGUUGGAUCCUCGCCUUAAACAUGGCGACGAUUAAUAAAUGGUCGCGUAAAAGGAAACUAAGGCGACUAUAAUUUCCCUUCGUCACCAAGUGUAGGCGACAAUAAUUUCGACGCCUAAAUAUGUCUGUUUUCCUCACCUUAGACUUAUGCGGCGAUAAAUAAAUAGUCGUCUAAGUAUCUAUUUAGGCGACCAUUAUUUUUUAUUCGUCGUCUAAGUUCUUACGGGUCCAUGCUAAGGCGAGGACUGUUAGGCGACGAAGCUUUCGUCGUGUGAGAACUUAGGCGACGAAAAUGGGCAUUUAGGCGACGAAAACUGUUUGUCGCUUAAGUCUUUUAUUCUAGUAGUGGUGGUGAAAUAUCUUCUCGAGCUUCUUGUUUUUCUUUCCGUAUAGGAAAUUAAUAUUAAUUCUUGUAUAUAUUAAUUCGAUCUUGAUUUGCAUGGCAAUGCCACUAUAUUAGCAGUAAGAUUAUUGGUCACUUAAGAUUAUUGGUCACUUUAGAAUCGACUAAAUUGGUUUUACUCAUAUAUAUCGUAACUUUCCCAUCAAUGAAAUUAAUCAAUUGCAAUUUGUUUACUUAAAAAAUUGUCAACAUUCGGGUGUUGGUGACUACUGCUAUAAAAGUGUUGUACUCGACGACAGCGACAAAUGAUGCUUUUUAGAUGACCGUGGCUGGUUGUUCGACGACAUAGUUGAUAGGAUUUCGAUCAUCACAUGGUAGUUCAUGUAUAGGUUUGGCUUUUGGGUUCCAAUUACUUGGAUUCAUUGUUUCGUUUGCUUCCAUAAUAGUAAGGGAUGCUGGAAAUUUAGGUAUCAAAGAACUAAGACAGACAUAACUCCUUAUAUAUUAAAUAUACAGUCGGGAUCAGAGGUAGACGUCCGCACACUCUUAAAGUGAGGACGUGCCUCCGUUCUCCACCGUACGGCUCCGACGACGCAGCGCCUCCACCCCAGCUGUCUCUAGCAGCGUCCCCGAUCACUUUUCCUCCCCGGCGAGUCCGCUGAAUUCCAGUUUAAAGGCGAGAUCGAUUUUGUUGGAAGUUUUGGGUGAUCUCGCCGGAAAACUGGAAUUCGGCUGACUCGCCGAGGAGGAAAAGUGAUCAGGGACGCUGCUGGAAGCCGCUGGGGUGGAGGCACGCCUUCGUCGGAGCCAUACGGAGGAGAACGGAGGGACGUCCGCACUUUAAGGGCUGUGCAGACGUCUUCUUUAGAUCCUCUCUGAUUAAAUAUAUAUAUAUACAUGUCCGUUCUGGUGCGGACGUUCGCACUCGGCUUAAAGUGCGGACGUCCGCACUCGAACGUUUCUGUGUGUGUAUAUAUAUAUAUAUUAUCUCAAUGAAGUUGCCUAAGCCUAACUAAUUUUCUAACAACAAUUCAUCAAUCAUGCACCAGAGUCCAGUGGGACUAGAUUUUCGGUGAGGAAACGGUGUGAUAUUGAUGAAAAAAAUCUCUAUAGCUUCACCUCAAUCAACAUGCGUGACACUCGUUCAUUUCAAGAACCUGGAGAUCAUAUAUAUGUCCUAAUAACAAGUUACCUUGUUGACUUAAUCGGAAUAGAACCUUUCCAACAUACAUUUUCUUCAUUACCUUAGCAAGGGAAUGUUAAGGACUAUGAUCUUAUGAGGGUCACUUAAAUAUUAUUUGAAACUUUUUUUUUUUUUUAAAUACUGACAAGGAUUAGGCGAAAUCAGCUCCUCUGUAGCAGUCUGGUGGGUGACAAAGCACCCACUCUACCCCAAAGGAGACUGCUACAACCGGGAAGCCACCACCCGUCCCUUAUCAGAAAUUUUAUUUAAAAUAAUAAAAAAAUUACAUGAAAAGAGGAAUGGGGGACUAGGCCAAAACCAUUCCAAUUACAAACCAAAACAACAUACAAAAAGACAUUGUUUCUACCCAUAAAAAACCAGGCAAUCUUCCCACUAUGAAAACCGAUAAUUAGGGAUACCCAAAUAAUCCGCUUGCAAGAAACCAUGAAGCUCAGUAGGAGGAUUAUCAUACCAAGUAAAUGAAGCAUUUGACAACCCCAAGUUUGCCAUCUUGUCAGCUACCAUAUAUUUCCUUCUCUAAAAAUAUGACUGCAACGGAAGUUCAUUUGACGAAUUAUAGAAAGAUAGUUAUUCCAACGAACUCUUAAGUUCCACGGAGGAGAAAAAGACCUGGAAGAGAAGCAAGCUACCACACUAACAAAGUCACUUUCCAACCAUAAGUAGACCCACCCUUUAUCAUGAGCAAUUUCAAUUGCCAAGAUAACAGCAUAAAGUUCAGAAUAAAAGGAACACUACCAGAAGAAAAACUUUAGCCGACGAAAAUAAAAAAACCAGGCCGACGAAUUAUUUUUUCGUCGGCUAAUUAAAAAUUUUCGUCGGCUAUAGUCAACUUUAGCCGACGAAAUUUUUAAAAGUUUAGCAGACGAAAAAUAUAAUUUCGUCGGCUAAAGUGCCUUAUAUUUGCAGAUCUGGACAACAACUCAUCUGGGAAAAAAAAACUAUAUGUAGAACCUUCAAACGCAAAAAAGUCGUGAAAUAAGAUAUGACCAGAAUGGUGAAAUACGUCUACAGUUGAAAAAACACAGUAUUCUGGUAAAGUCUCGGUGCCGAUAGUUGCGGUCAAUGCAAUUAACCCUUAUUAUUCACUAUGCUGCAGAUUUGGUUUUUGGUGUCCGAUUGACUAUUGUGAUACCUUUUCGGAAGCGUAACGGCUCUACGAGUCAAACUCAUCGCUAUUGCCAUGAAGUAUGAGCCUUUUUGGCCAUCCGAGUCCGUUUAGGGCUUCAAAAUGCAGUUUUCUUAUUUCCGAUUAGAGUUGACCGUUUCGAUCGAGCCCUUAACGUUGUCGAAUCCAGUUGAAUUUUUAACCAUAGACAUCUUUCGUCAUAAUGAUCAUAUCUGACAGUCGAAUUUUGGUUUGUAAAUUUUAGUCAUCGGAAUCACAACGUGUCUACUAUUUACUGUUAUUAUUCCCCAUAGGGAGCCCUAUCGUUGAAAGGUAAAUAUCUCAAAAUUUUUAUAUGGGCAGUUGUGUCUCAUCUACGUGAGAGUUUUUUGUGCGGAAGGUUUGACCAAACUACGUAACAUAGAGGGAGAUAUGAGCGUUUUCGUGUGAUAAGUGACGAUGGAUUAGGGUUGACAGUUUUGAUCGAGCCCUUAACGUUGUCGGAUUCAGUUGAAUUUUUUAUCAUAGACAUCUUUCGUCAUAAUGAUCAUAUCUAACGGUCGAAUUUUGGUUUGUGAAUUUUAGUCAUCGGAAUCACAACGUGUCUACUAAUGUUGUAUAAUUUAUUUAGUAGGUUAUACAACUUUGUGAACCAACUCUACAUAGGAAGCAAAAUUAUCAAAAAUCUCGUGAAAUAAGAUGUGUUCAGAAUGGUGAAAUACGGCUAUGGUUCAAAAAUCACGUAAAUCGGGUAAAGUCUCGAAGCCGAUAGUAGCGGUCAACCCUAUUUAGCGUUAUUAUUCCCUAUGGGGAGCCCUAUCGUCGAAAGGUAAAUGUCUCAAAAUUUUUAUAUAGGCGGUUGCGUCUCAUCUACGUGAAUACGUGAAAGUUUUUCGUGUGGAAGGUUUAACCAAACUACGUAAUAUAGAGGGAGAUAUGAGCGUUUUCGUGAAUUUAUAGACUUUAGCCGACGAGAUAUUAAAAAAGUCAUCGGCUAAGGUCAAAAAUUUUUGGGCUGUAAACCAAUUUGGAGGAAAAUUUUCAAAGGACUUUAGCCGACGAAAAUAUAUGAAAAGUCGUCGGCUAAAGUCGAAAAAAUUUCAAAAUUUUCAACCAAAAUUUUUUGGCGGUCAACCAAAAUUUUUCAAAAUUUUCAAAAGAGUUUAGCCGACGAAAAUAAAGAAUUUCGUUGGCUAAAGUUCUUUAUAUAGGAGUUUUACCGAAGGUGGAUGGUAAGAAGUCUAUUUCGCCUGCCAGAUUUUCUUCUCGGCCUAGCUCUGCCGUCAAGCCACCGAAGACCGCCACACUUGUCCCAAAAGUUUCGUCGUCGUCGUCUCUACUUCAUUGCUGGACAGGUGGUGCAUCGAGUGGCGCCGCCGUGAGGGAUAAAUCGAGCUCCAAAACUCCGCCGGUUCGGAUUCGGUGUCGAUCGAAUUUCUCCUUCCUCAGGUCACCAUUUGGUGAGUUCUAUAUAUGGAUAAGUUGAGUUUGAUUAGUACUACAUUCCCCUAGAAUUUGGUAGCUCGAUUCGGUGUGUGUGAGGAGAAUCGAAGAUUUGAAGUUUUUAGGGUUUAAAAUUGGGGAUUUUUAUAUUUUGAUUCAAUUGACCUGUUUAGGCUUAGAAUUGGGCUUCGACUUCUUCUAGAAAGUUGUUCUAAAUGUUGAGAGGAAGAUUCUGUCAAAUUUUGGUGGUGAUUGAAGGUGGCCGAAAAUUUCUGUAGUUUUUUUUUCAAAAACCAGCAACUUUAGCCGACGAUAUUUAAAUACUAUAUUCGUCGGCUAUAGUAUUUUUAAUUUUUUUUUAUAAGGUUUAGCCGACGAAAUAUGGUAUGUUUCGUCGGCUAUAGUUAAUUUUUAAAAUUUUUUAUAAGGUUUAGUCGACGAAAUAGACUAUAUUUCGUUGGCUAUAGUUAUUUUUUAAUUUUUUUUAUAAGGUUUAGCCGACGAAUAUCUUAAUUGUUUCGUCGGCUAAAGUUUGGGAAAAAACCCGACGACAUGUUUUUCGUCGGCUAAACUGUGGGACUAUAGCCGACGAAAUUUUUUUUUCGUCGGCUAAAGUCAUCGCCGACGACCUUUUCCCGACGAAAUCUUAGCCGUCGAAUUAAAUUAACAGGCCGACGAAAUUUUUUCGUCGGCUAAAGUGCUUGUCCUGGUAGUGUUUCCUACAUACAUUUUCUUCAUUACCUUAGCAAGGGAAUGUUAAUUAAGGACUAUGAUCUUAUGAGGGUCAUUAAUUACCUUACAUUUUCUCAGUUAUUUGAAACAUAUAUCUAUUGUUUGGAGACAAAUUUAAGUAGCAUGUGGUUUGUACGUAAGCGUAUGAUCUCUUACUAAGUCUUUUUGUUCGUGUAGUAUUGUGACGUACGUAAUGACAUCAACCAACGUGUAACACAAAGUGAUCGAGAGUAGAUAUCGAUCGAGAUCUAGAAAAAUAAUCGAUGAAACUUGUCUUGUUCAGUUCACUGCUUAACGAAAAGCAAAACCCUAAUUGUCUAUUUUAAGUACAAGUUUGAACAUGAAAUUAAUAGUUUGAGAUAUGAUCUUGAAGGGUGGAACUACUUUUGUCAUCUGGAUUCUUCUUUUAAGCAGUAUAUAUUCUUGUAGUAAAACCCAAAUUAAGUCAUAUGAAUAAGAACUAUUGUCUACACUCGUAGAAGCUCAUUCAUAAUUGUGCAUAUUUCUCCCAAACAGUCCUUAUUCACAUUAAUUUCUGUCUCCUCACAAAUAAUAUACAAGUAACAAGAGGAAUAAAAAUCCAGUAGCAAUGGAGGGAUUGGAGGGCAUCGAUCCAGACCACAAAUCAUUGGCCGGGAAAAAAAAAGCUAGGGUUUUCCAUCCCACGCAAAACACAUUGAGGAAUGUAAUGCCAAACCCCGUAAGGUUGCAGCAUCUUUUUCCCCAGUAAAGACUAAAACAUGCCAGCUACUAGUAAAGGCUCAAUAUGUGAGACUGGGAAUAUGGAAAUCAAUCAGAUGAUCGCUAUUGAGAAUCUGAGAUGAUCGAUUAUGAAAUGGUUGCACGGUUCCCAAACAACUGGAACAUUUUCUUUGUAGUUUAGCCUUUACUGAAUAGACGUACUGGACCAGUUUGCACUUGGUUUUCUAGUUAGCUAGUAGUUGAAGACAAUAGUUCAUAAAACCAGUCAUUGUUUUGCUCCUGCAGAAAUGGCACUACAUGCAUGUGAAUAUCUUUGGAAUCUUUUUAUCGAUCAUUACUACCUCCAGCAUAUAUAUAACAAAGGCAAGGGUUUCGUUAUUCGUAGUGUACACUAAUAGAAAUUUCCCCAUUGGGGACUGAUAGGAUUAAGUCCCUAUUGUGGACAAUGCACACUGAUAUAUAAGAGCGUAAAAUGCUAUUAGCACCCCUACAACCACUCUUAAGGGAUCAGUUCCCUCUAUAGCAGGUGCUAUUGGAGCAUUAGACACUGAUGAAACAUCAGUGUAAAGUUAUAUGAAAAGUUAAAAGUCUACUGGUGUCAUUGCUGCCGACGACUUUAAUUACCAGAAGAGUGCGAAUGAAGAACUGAGAUUCAGUAACAAGGAAUUUAGGAACUCAUCGAAAAGAAAAAGGAAUUUAGGAACUUGUCCUUACCACCAUCAUGAACUGAUAUUAGUUAGACAAGAAGGGAAGAUAUAUAGAGUGACAUGUGCUAAGCAAGACCUAACAUUUCGAUUCUACAAUCUAAUAAACCAGAAAGUUCGGCUGCACCAGCACCGCACCAGCACCACAAUUUAUAUCCAAAUGUUAAUGAACACUAGUCUCAACAUCGAUCUGCAAAGUGUGCCGAGUUUUUUGUCAAUUAAAACAACCAAAUGGUGUAGAAGUAGCUAAAUUUUACAUUAGGUAAAGAUUGUAAGAACAAAAUACAUUAUUGUCCCACGUUCUUCAUUUGGUUUCCUUUUCGUACGUAGUAGAACUUUUGAAGCUUGUCAUCUAUCUUUGAAGGAGUGGUGGAGCUAGCAGUAGAAGACUGGUUACACAGUAGGCUGGUACUUGUUUUUAUAUAUAGAUUCUUGCACAUUAUAACACAGUAGACCCUUUGCUGUUUCUCACCGUACGUUAGUCCAUCAUACAUUUGAUUAAGCACAUCUAGCAGAAUUUACUCAAUUUUGUUUUCAUGCAAUGCUAGAAUAAUAGAGUGAACUAGCGAGAAUAAAAUGGAAAGAAUUAUUUAUUAUAAAAUAAUUGAGUAGCCUCCUGCUACUGUGAGAUAGCUAAACUACAUAUUAUCUAUACCUCUUCAUCCAACAUUUAUAACAGAAUUAUUCUAUGCAAGGUGCCAUUUCGGGUUACCCCAAUCUCUAGUUCUUCGUCUUUUUCUAGCUCAACGUCGAGCUGCAUGCUGAGAUAAGUACACCCUGUGGCUUCUGUCGCGCGAUCGAGAAGAAGAAGAAGUAAUCUGUCGAGCGAGAAAUGGGAAAAACCUCUGGUUUCGAAAAGGAAGGAAAGAAGAAAGGAAAAUGGUCUGGUACCAGAUUCUCAAGGACUACGUCAAGAACCACGGUACAGGCAAAUGGGGCAAAAUAGCAAAGGAGAUUGGCAAGUUCAUAAUUUCCUUCAUAUAUACCUACUUUCGACAUACAUCGUUGUGCUUAAUCAAUAAUGUAAUCGCCGUUGUUUCUGAAAUUUUCAAUUAAUUCAAUUAAUUACCGACGGCCCUGUGUAGCUUACGCGGAAUUCGCAUGCAUGUAUUGGAAGCCAAAAUUACAAAUUUACGCCAGUAGCGAAUGGAUUAAUUGGUAAAUUGGUUGCUCAAUUAAUCAUUGGUUAAUUAACUGCGUGUGCAGGUCUGGGGAGAUGUGGGAAGAGUGUGAGACUGAGAUGGUUGAAUUAUCUAAGGCCCGAUAUCAAGCAUGGCAACAUUAGGGAAGAUGAAGAAGAUCUAAUUAUCAGGAUGCACAAGCUUGUAGGCAAAAGGUACUAAUAUAAUAAAUUUCUUCCUCUUAUCAUGAAAGUCCCGCAGAUCUAAUUUUAAAUUUAAGCUUAGUAUUCGUAAUUACUUACGAACAUUUGCAUAUUUGAUCAAUAUUUGGUUUCAUUUUUUUUUUUUUAAUUUUUUUAGAAUUCAAAGAAAAAAUACUUGCCUCAUUUCAGAGCUUAAUACAAAGUAGACUUGUGCAGGUGGUCAUUGAUAGCAGGAAGAAUUCCGGGUCGAACUGACAAUGAAAUAAAGAACUACUGGAUCUCCACUCUAAGUAAGAAGCUGGCAGAAGAAAAAAGAAAGAAACCAGAAGUGCCGAGAAACGAGAUUGCCAAGGAGAGCUUGCCAUCCCCCAUUGAGGUCGACGAUGGUCAUCCACAUCCGACCAUAUGCAAUGAAGUUCCUGGAGGAGGAGGAGGAUUGAUGUGUUUUGCCAGUAAUGUUAAUGUAGAAGAAGAUCAUCAGCAUCAGAGUUCUGAUACCGAUAACAGUACUACAAUGAGUGCCAGAGUGGGAGUCCGAAUCAGAGGCGUGGCAAACAAUGUUCAACCAACCGGGGACGAUCUCAGUGAUGACGCUAUGCCCUGGAACGAUUGGAUAAUGGAUCUGAACGAAGGGCAACUCGACCUAUCUGAAUUUCUCCAAACUGAUUUUUCGAACUUUUGGGAAGAAUCAGAUAUGUUCAUGAACUUUGAAGUCGGAGGUUGCAGCACCAUUAACCAUGAGUGGCCGAAUAAUUAGGGUGGUUAAAUAUCUUCCCGAGCUUCUUGUUUUUCUUUCCGUAUCGGAAAUAUUGAUUCUUGCAUAUAUUCAUUCUUGAUUUGCAUGGCAAUGCGGCCACUAUAUUAGUAAUAAGAUUAUUGAUCACUUUAGAAUCAACUAAUUAAAAGUUUUACUCAUAUAUAUUGUAAUUUUCCUAUCAAUGAGAUUAAUCAAUUGCAAUUUGUUUACUUCAAACAGUGUCAACAUUCGGGUGCUGGUGACUCUACUGCUAUGGUGCUUUUCAGAUGACCGUGGCUGGUUGUUCGACAUAGUUGAUAGGGUUUUUGGGUUUACUUGGAUUCAUUGUUUCGUAUGCUUCCAUAAUAGUAAGGGAUGCUGGAAAUUUAGGUAUCAAUCAAAGAACUAAGACAGACAUAACUCCUUAUGAAUUAUUUCAAUAUAAUGUUGCCUACCUAAUUUUCUAACUUCACCAAUCAUGCACCAGAAUCCAGUACUGGCCGGGUCAAGAUUUUCAGUGGGGAAAACGGUGUGAUGUUGAUNNNNNNNNNNNNNNNNNNNNGUUAGAAAGGGAUGAUUCUAUCUUUGGCUAAAAACCAAAAGGGAUUGAGAAUUGGUGGUUUACGAAUCUGGGUAGUUAUUAAUUCUUGAAGAUUUGUAAUUCUGGGACAAGUUCAAAUUGAGGGCCCUUCUUGAGCUGAUACGGCAGCCUUGAAUUUUCAGAGGAAGACGAACUGAACCUGUUUUUUUUUUCUUUUUUCUUUUUUUUUUGUGUGGCUGAAAACUCUGUUUUAAUCUCAGCCCUCCAACAAUGUUAAAACAAAUCAGACGGCUAUGACCCUAUCCCUUGAAAAGACCCAAAAAAAAAGGAUCCCUCAUUAAGGUAUAUGUAUGUAUGUAUGUAUGUAUAUCCCUAAUAAUAAGAAGCUACCUUGUUGAAUUGAUUGGAACAGAUCACCUUUCCUCACAUUUUCUUCAUUACCUUAGCAAGGGAAUGUUAAGGACUAUGAUCUUAUGAGGGUCACGUAAUUAUUAUUUGAAAUUAUUUAAUCUUCUUCUAAUUCAUCAAAUUUAUGUAUGCUCAAUAAUGUGCUCAAAACAAAAACAAAAACAAAAACUAGAAUUUGUCAAAGACAGAAAGCUAGCGAUGUGAAACCACAUGUCAUCCACAUAUAUCUAUUGUUUGGAGACAAAUUUAAGUAGUGUGGUUUGUACGUACGUAAGCGAUGUUACGUAAGCGAUAGACAAAUUUGAUCUAUUCUUUUUGUUUGUGUAGUGAUGUUACGUACGUAAUGACAUCAACCAACAUGUAACACAAAGUGAUAUAUCGAUCGAGAGCUAGAAAAAUAACUGAUGAAACUUUGUCAUGUUCUCUUCAUUGCUUAACUAAAACCAAAACCCUAAUUGUCUUUUUUACGUAGAAUUUUGAACAUGAAAUUAAUGGUUUGAGAUAUGAUCUUGAAGGGUGCAUGGAACCACUUUUGUCAUCCGCAUUCUUCUUUUAAGUAGUAUUAAUCUUGUAGUAAAACCCAAAUUAAGUCAUAUGAAUAAGCUCGUAGAAGUUCAUUCAUAAUUGUGCAUAUUUCUGAAAAUGACUGCAUAAAUUAAUGCAACUUUUGAAGUUUUCUCCCAAACAGUCCCCAUUCACAUUAAUUUCUGUACGUCUCCUCACAAAUAAUAUACAAGUAAACAGAUAGCGUGAGGAAUAAAAAUCCAAUAGCAAUGGAGGAGGGGAUUGGAGGGCAUCGAUCCAGACCACAACUCAAUGGCCUGAAAAAAACGAAGGAAAAAUGGGUUUUCCAUCCCAUGCAAAACACAUUGAGGCCAACACGCGUAAGGUUGCAGCAUCUUUUUCCCCAGGAAAAGACUAAAACAUGCCAGCUACUAGUAAAGGCUCAACAUGUGAAUGUGUGAAUAUGGAAACCAAUCAGAUGAUCGAUAUCGAGAAUCUGAGAUAAUGAAAUGGUUGCAUGGUUCCCAAACAACUGGAGCAUUUGCUUGUUCUUUAGCACAUACUGAAUAGUGAUAGGGGCUUAACCCUACCAAUGGAAUCGAGAAAGGGAGGAGCUAAAACUAACAGAAAAUGGAAAGGAAAUUGCAAUUUUUGAUAUUCGAUGGCUGCCUGAAACCCUAGAACAGCCUUAAAUAGGUACAAAAGAGAGAUGAGAUCUUGACACCUGUCAAGCAUCUAUCGGAUCAAAACAGUAAACCUAGCUUAACUAAUUAACCAAACUGACCAACUGAUUACAAUCAAAACAACAUCAAUUAGCUUCAAUUGACUACUUGUGGACUCCUACUCGGCCCAACUCAAGCAACAACCAUAUCUACGGCCCACUAGGAAACCAGCAGCAGAGACUUGCAACAUUCCAUCCCGGUUCCACCACAAACUUGUCCACAAGUUUGAACUGCUCAAAAUUUAAAGUCUGGAUAACGCUGCAUAAUAUCCUUAGCGAAUUCCCAAGUAGCCUCUUCUCUAGCCGUCCCCAUCCAAUGAACAAGCCACUAAGUUGCUGCUGCCCCCUUGUGUUUGAUCAUCCUUGUUAUUAAAACAGCCUCAGGGACCCAUUUAAGAGUAGACGAAUCCCUGACAUCUGGAAGGGUAGCCUCAGCUGUGACAGCAUGCCCAAUUCUCUUUUUGAGGAGGGAAACGUGAAAGAGGUUAUGGAUUUUUGCUGUAGCUAGAAGUGCCAACUUGUAUGCCACUGCUCCGAUCUUCUCCAGUACCUGAAAAGGACCAUAGUACUUUGAUGCCAACUUAUGAAACGCACUGGUGCUGACUGAAGUCUGUUUAUAAGGCUGGAGUUUCACAUAGACCCAGUCCCCAACUUCGAAUGAUCUCUCUGUGCGAUGCUUAUCAUAGUAUGCCUUCAUCCGGUUCUGAGCUUGAUGGAGAUUUCGUUUGAUCAACGCUAAGAGCUCGUCUCUACUUUGGAGUUGUGCAUCCACGUCUGCCACAGCAGUAGAACCAGGUGUGUACGGUUUAAUGGCAGAGGGAGCAUAGCCAAACAAAGCUUCGAAAGGUGUCAUUUUCAGAGCUGAGUGGUAGGCACUGUUAUACCACCAUUCAGCCCAAGGGAGGGCAGCUACCCAUUCAUGAGGUUUGUUUCCAGCAACACAGCGUAGAUACUGCUCCAAUGUCCGAUUGAGGUUCUCGGUUUGACCGUCCGUUUGGGGGUGAUAUGCUGUUGACUUGUUCAAAGUAGUACCUUGCAGUCUGAAAAACUCCUCCCAAAAUAAGCUCAUGAAAAUGGGGUCACGAUCUGAGAUAAUAGCAUCUGGCAUACCAUGUAAACGGAAUACUUCUGUAACAAAGAUCCCUGCAAGCGCCACUGCAGUGUAUGGAUGAGAAAGAGGUAUAAAAUGAGCCACUUUGCUAAACUUGUCCACCACAACCCAGAUGACAGUUUUUCCUUGUGAUUUUGGCAAAGCCUCGAUGAAAUCCAUUGAAAUAACGCUCCAUGCUCUCUCAGGGACUGGAAUUGGUCGCAGCAGCCUCGGAGGUCUAAUAGACUCAUAGUGGUUUUGCUGACAUAUAUCACAAUUAGCUACAAAUAGCUUCACAUCCCUUUGUAGUCCUGACCACGCAAAAUUUUUUCUCACCCUCAUGUAAGUGCGAGUCCUACCAGCAUGCCCUCCCACCAAACCACAAUGGAACUCUUGGAUCACCUUCUGCCUCCAAUUGUCAAUAUUUGGUACAAACACUCUUCCUUUAUACAUCAACUGAGAAUUAUGCAGUGAGAAGUGUUUCUUGCUGUGGGGUGAUUCUUGGAGAGUUCGAAUCAACUCCACCAAGGUAGCAUCAGUAAGACAUGCCUUCUGUAUCUCACUCACAAACUCAUGAGUUGGUAUAGACACUCCCAUAAUAGCAUUAAGAGCUGCAGAUCGAGACAAGGCAUCUGGUGCAGCGUUGUUUUUUCCCGUUUGUAGUGGAUGGAGUAGUCAUACCCGAGGAGUUUCAGCAACCUUUUUUGUUGAGAGGGUGUGGUUACUCGCUGGUUGAGGAAAUGCUCAAUAGUCUUGUGGUCGGUGUAAAUGGUGAAAUGAUGGCCUAGAAGGUAUGGUCGCCAAUGCUCAACAGCAGUCACUACAGCCAACAUCUCUUUGUCAUAAACCGAAAGAGAGAGGUGUCUUUGGGAGAGAGCCUUACUCAUAAAGGCAAUAGGAUGCCCUUCUUGACACAACACUGCCCCAACUCCCACAUCCGAAGCAUCACACUCGAUAGUAAAGGGUUUUGAGAAAUCAGAAAAAGCUAGUACAAGAGUUGAAGUGAGAGCUGCUUUUAAUUCCUCGAAGGCCCUCGUUGCUCCCUCAUCCCACUUAAAUCCAUCUUUCUUAAGUAGACUGGUGAGAGGCUUUGCAAUCAGACCAAAACCCUUAACAUAUUUGCGGUAGUAACCGGCAAGACCAAGGAAACCACACAGCUGCUUGAGAGUCUUGGGUGUUGGCCAAUUCUUCACACAUUCUAUCUUUGAGGGAUCAACAGACACACCUUUGCCACUAAUAACAUGCCCCAGGUACUCUACUUGGGAGACACCAAAACUGCACUUGCUUUCUUUAACAACCGAAGAAUGCUGUUGUAAAAUUUGAAACACCAUUUUCAAAUGUUGUAAAUGGGCUGAGAGGGAAAGACUAAAGAUGAGGAUGUCAUCUAAGAAUACCAGAACACAUCUCCGCAAGAGUGCUCAUAAGACAUCAUUCAUCAAGGACUGAAAUGUUGAGGGGGCGUUGGUGAGGCCGAAAGGCAUCACCAAAAAUUCGUAGUGACCGGUAUGAGUCCGGAAGGCAGUUUUAGGAAUAUCAGUCUCAGCCAUCCGAAUUUGGUGAUAACCUGCCCUCAAGUCCAACUUUGUGUAUAUCGUUGAACCAUGAACUUCAUCGAUCAACUCAUCCACCACAGGGAUAGGGUACUUGUCUUUAACUGUGGCAGCAUUUAGAGCUCUAUAGUCGAUACAAAGUCUCCAUGAACCAUCCUUCUUUUUUACCAGCAACACAGGAGAAGAGUAGGGGCUUGUGCUCGGCCUGAUCACACCAUUGGCUAGCAUUUCUUGCACUAUCUUCUCUAUUUAUGUUUUCUGGAAACGAUAAGGUCUCACGCUAAUGGGGGGGAGUGUUGGGCACUAGCUCAAUCUUAUGAUCUUGUGCUCUAGAGGGAGGGAGGCUGCGGUGGGGGGGGGGGGGGGGGGGGGGUGCGCAAAAACAUUUGCAUAUUUGGCCAACAAAGACUUGAUGGUAGGAUGGACUUCUGGAUUUUUCCGUUCAGCAGCCAAAGAGUGUACUUGAACAAGGACUGCAUCUUUCUCUUUCCUCAAUAACUUCGUCAUAGUUUUACAACUUACAACCAAAGCUUCUGGUGUUGUCACUACAAAAAAGAAUUCAUUUAGCCACCGAAAAUCGCCACGGCUCGGAUUUGCCGUGGCCAUUGAUCCUAAAUUUGCGACGGCGAAGCGACGGUAAACAUACCGUCGCUAAAUAAAAACCAGUUUGCGACGGCAACAUCUUGCCGUGGCUAAAUAAUGCAAAAUUCGCGACAGCAAACUAGCGCCGUCGCAUAUGUUUUUAUCAACGGCGACGACAGGUGAGUGCCGUGGCAAAAAAACCAAUUUUAUUUCUGAUUUGCUGCUACGGUUGCUUUCGUCGUCGCCUGUGUUCUUUCACUGUUAAUGGAAGGCGCCAAUUAUCCCGCUUUCCAUUUUGACAAAAAACAUCAAUUUUACAUAACCCUCAUUUUUACUCUCUCUUCAGACAAAACCCCCAUCCCACAAACCUAAUUCCUGUCUUCUAGAAAUCGCCGGUCCUAACCCCAUAACCCCUAUUUUGUCAAAUAUGUUGAAUGAAAAUUGGGGUUGGUCGUGAGAAACACAAAUCAUCGACUGUGGAAGGAGAGCUUGUCGACGGUGGUUGUGGUCAUCGGGAGGAGAGGUUUUCGGUUUUCAUCUGACCGGUGGCGGUACAAGACUGUAUUGAAUUGGCGGCGGCGGGUUUGCACUGGUGGCGGGUUUGCGCUGGCAGUGGCUUCUUCGGUCAAGUCGUGUCGAAUCUCUAGAGGUCGACGGCGGCGGCUUCUUCGGUCAACCCUAAUCGCCCAUCUUUUCCCUGCUCUUCCCUGCUCGAGCUCGCAGAAGGUACUCUCUUCCCUGCUCGAGCUCGCGCAUCUCUUCCAUGCUCUUCCCUGCUCGAGCUCGCAGAAGGUACUCUUUUCCCUGCUCGAGCUCGCAGAAGGUACUCUCUUCCCUGCUCGAGCUCGCCCAUCUCUUCCAUGCUCUUCCCUGCUCGAGCUCGCCCAUCUCUUCACUGAUUUUUUCGAUGCGUUUUGUGGUUUUGUGAAUUGGGUUUGAGUUGGUUUUGUUUUGGAUUUUUUGAUAGGUUCCAGAGGGGUCUGAAGCGCAAGCCCAUUUAAUGAUCAAGAAGCUUCGCAAAGCGGUGAGUUUUACUGUUAUUGGUUUGAUUGGUUAUGGUGAAUGAAAUAUGUUGUUGUGAUAGAUUGGUCACAUUAUCGUUCAAGUAUUGAAAUUUUUGACUCAUUGAGCAGUUUGUUUGGAGCUUACCAUUCUAUUCGCAAGUUUAUAUUAGAAUUUGUUCAUUGAGCAAUAUAUAUGUACCGACGAUAUAGGAAACUUUUGAAGUUUUGGAGUUGUCAUUGAUUGACUGUAUUAUAUUUAUACCCUCUAAGAUUAGUCUGUUGAUGGUAGGAAGAUAAGGUGCGUGUAAGACAGUUUAUGCCUUCUUUAGUUUCCUCAGAGUUGAGGAAGCUAGCUAAUUGCCUAUCCUCAGAAUGUUAUUUAAUUCCUGGCAACACUACUGUUGUACAACAUAUUCCAAUUGUUUGUUUAGUUGAAUGAUAUGUUCUGUGGUGGCAUUCAUUGUUGUUGGUAUUGAAACCCCUAUGUGUAUUGGUUAAUGACUUUGUAGAGGAACGGUUUGUGUUUUUGUUUAUCCUCAGUUAAAGAGAAAUUGAGCAGUAGAAUGUGUGAGAAACUUGACUGUAACAAAAUCAACAGAACUAGAGAAUACUUCGGAAGUCCGAAUUACCCUAUACUCUUAAACUCUCACCAAAUGCCACUAAGAAACCAAAUAGGUCACAUGAAGCCGAGGCCCCGUUUUCAUAGUUUCACUCUUCAUUACAUGAUCAAGUACUUUUUCAUAGUCUUUUUAUUUCAUAGUAUAUGUGGGACAAGUAAAAAUGGGAGUUCAUAACUGAAUGUGGUUGAAGUUUUGUUUUCAUUUUCACGCUUUUCUAUUUGUAGUUUUGUUCAUUCCGUCUUUUCUCUCUUUCCUCAAUUUAGUCUCUGUUAUUACUCUCAAUUUAGUCUCUGAAAACUGAGUCAGUAAAUUAAGUGGUCCACUAACAAUCUCCCAGACCUUCUCAUACUAGUUGUUCUUGAGAACUGGUGAUAUAUUGUUCUUGAGAACUAGUGAUAUGAUUUUUUUUUUUCGUUUUUGUUAAUUAGCUUGGGCUGUUAUACACCAGAUGGGUUGAAUGAAUAUUUAAUGAGAUUUGCUGCUGAGUUUGAUUAUUAAUGUCGAGUGAUUUGUGUCUUUAGGUGUUGUAGUAACAGAAUUUAGUUUGACAAUUUGAAACAUGAACACUGCCAGUAAUUCAUUGUUCUGAACUUGUCACUUCAGUGUGGUGAUAUUACAAUUUGUCCACCUUUUCUAUUAUGGAUAGGAACUCUGUUUUAUAUGAUUGAGAAGUUUUAUGAUACAUUUACAUUGAUACUCCCACCAAAGAUUCUCUUGACACACGACUGAUUGCCAAAUCUAUGUUUGAAAGACCUUUAUAUAUAUGUGUAUUUUAUGCAAUGGCAUUACUUAAGUAGAUUAUCAUUAAUUUCAGUUAGAGUUGUAGGCUUACAGGGAGAGGAACUGUUGAAUUUACCAUUGAAAAAGGUGACAGUUCAACAUUUGCUCCAGAAGCUGGUGGUGAACCAAGAAAGACAGCCAGUAUUCAGGUAUAAUGAAUACUAUCUAUCUAUCUAUCUCUCUCUCUCUCUCUCUCUCUCUCUCUCUCUCUCACACAAAAAUUUGAUAUUUCCAAAUGUAAAAUGUAUGCAUGGCACCCAAAUUUACUUUGAAAAUAUUUAAUGUCCAAAACUGAUCAGUAACUUGUGUACAGGUUGUUAUAGAUAGUUAUUCAGCACCAUUAACAGCGGGUAAUUUCGCAAAACUGGUUAGGUAGUUGAACACUAGAACCUCACAUUGGCUUCAUGCAAUUAUCUACAUUUGUGAAUAGAUGUGCUUAUCAGUGCUUUACACCUCUAAAUUUUCAUCCUCACUGGUUCAUCCAUAUGCUAUAAGGAUAACUGGGUAUUCUGUGAAAAAAUUAUGUUAAAGUUUGAAGUCUUUUUGAGUAUCUGAUAUCUUUUUAUAGUGCUUACUUUUGUCAAUUUGGUCAGUGUUGUAAUGUUAGUUACUAUUGGUUUGAGGUUGAGGUAGACUGGAAUAAUUACUGUAUUUUUUUUUACUGCGGCAGGGGAGUGUGGAGUGGGGGAGCACAAGAGUAAAGUUGCAGGGAAGAUGCAUGGAUGUGGACAUGAUGGUCAUGUUGCCAUGCUUCUUGGAGCUGCUAGUUUACUUCAAGAGUAUCGCCACAAAUUACAGGUCUCUUUCCUGGUUUGAAUUCUAUGCAUUGUGUUUAGAAGAGUGGUUUCAUUGUAAAGUUGGGUUUUUAGGUUUGUUAUUCCAUGUGUUGCAUCAGUUCUUGUUCUUAUGGACUUCUGUUACUUUAUAUAGCAAUUGUAGGUUUGAAAGUAGUUGUCUUUAAACAAAACAUCAAGGCUAAAAUGUAAAUAUUUAAAACUAUAUAUGGUCAGAUUUGGAAAGUUCCAGCGUAUGAGCGUGGAGGUGAGGUUAGGGAGAUUAUUAGGCCUUGGGGUUGUCUACAAUGGGCUCCUGGUCUAGCUGUCUAUUAGAAUUAUAUGUCAACUUGUUAUGUCAUCUAUCUGACUGCGAACAACCUUUAACUAAUAAAAAAGACAAAGAGCGAUAGAAAAUGACCUUUCAUACUGAAAUUUGCAGAGUUUUGGAGUCCAUAUUGGAACUACAUUUUGAUGUGGCCAGCUAUAAAAGUUGAUACACUAGCUUAAUCUAUAGAUUGCAAAGUGUGUGCAUUCUCUAAGUAGGCUUCUUGANNNNNNNNNNNNNNNNNNNNGAAUGGCUGCGAGUGGAUUUUUUGAAGCCUUGAUAAGUGGGAAGGGGGGUCGUGCUGCAAUUCCACAGCACACAAUAGAUCCUAUCUUGGCUGCUUCCAAUGUUAUUGUUAGUCUGCAGCAUCUUGUUUCACGUAAAGCUGACCCCUUAGAUUCACAGGUUUGCUCGCUUUCUCUCUAUUCUCAUAAUAAGGUCAUUGUCAAGUCUAUGUUCCCCUCCUAUUGCAGCUUGAUUAUUCAAAUACAUGUAUCUGUAAGUUCACAUGUGUUAGCGUUAGUCUACAACAUCUUUCACUCAGCACAUAGUAUGUGAAAUAUUAAUCCCCUUAGUUUCUUCAUGUGUGUGGGGAAAUGGUACUAUACAGAACAAACAUGAUAAGUAUUGGAAAUUGCCCUUUUUUUUUAUUAUGAAUAUUUUUGAAGUAUGGUUUAGUAUGAAUUAGGGUGAAAGUGCUUGAUUUACUUGAAUCUAGAUAUGGUUUUAAGCAUUAGGGUCAAUGCUUGAGCAUGCAAUAGGUUUUUGUUUUCACCUUUCACUUCAAAUCAGACAACUAAUUGUAGAAAAUGGUCUCAUUUAUGCAAUAGGUACCAGCUGAUGCAACAAGUGGCCAUAAGGCUAGGAGGGAGUCCAUAUGAGAGGGAGAUCCUGAGGCCACUACCCAUUUUGAUUCAACUUCUGAUGAUGUCACUGGUCACCAUGAUCCUCCUGCAUGAUUUAGGUUUAUGUCAUAUUGUUGUGUUUUAGAAUGUGUUAGAACAAAAUUAUGUUGGAAUAUUAUUGUCCCUUUAUGAAGCUCUUUUUAUUGUUGUAGCAGUUUGUUGGUUUGGUUUAGGUUCCAUCAUGUGGAAUAAUGUUUAUGUUAGAUAAUUUGGUUAUGAAAUGAAUUUUGGUCAUUGUGUUGUAUUUUGUUGGAAUGAAUGAUAGUUGAUGGUGGUGUUAGUACCUUGUUGAUUAUGGUUGUUGCUAUUGUGGAUUGAAUGAGAUUUGAAUUUGCAGCUUUCUGGUAAAAAUGAGAUUUGAAACAGUUGUGGUAACAAUUUCUGCAGUUGGCGACGGCAGAGUCCCGUCGCAAAUGGUUUUGGUGGGAAAAUUCAAAAAUUUUAGUUCAGAUCUGAAAUUUUUAAAAUAUCACAGUGACGGCGAUUGCCGUCGCCAAUAUUGGUAUUUGUGACGGCAAGUUCAGUAGCCAAUUUCCGUCGCUAAUUAAGCGACGGUCUUUACAGUCGCUAUUUGCCGUCGCAAACAUGGUUGUGACGGCUCACUGCCGUCGCCAAAAGCAACGGCCACACCCUCAACGGCGACGGGAAAAAUGCCGUCGCCACGCCGUCGCCGUUGGUCUUUUGCGACGGCAGAAUGACUUUUGGCGACGGCAUUUUGCCGUGGCUAACUGAAUUAAUUUUUGUAGUGUGUUAGUCCCUGCAAACAGAAUGUAUGCCCUCCAAUCUGAAACUUCAUCAUCAUAGUCUCAAAAUUCCACAAUAUAUCCCCAAGAGUUUUGAGCCAACUUGCCCCCAUUACAACCCAUUACAACUUCACAACCUGAUAUAGGUAGAACAUAGAAGGAAGUGGUUAGGGUUAAACCUUGCAAUGUAAUUUCAACCUUUACCUGCCCCUUAGUGUACAUAAUCGAUCGCUUCACUAGCAAGCCGGACUCUUAGAGGACUAAUUUUUUGGACCUCAUGCUUCGAUGCCUUGAGCGCUGCAGGGUGCACAAAGUUGUGUGAUGCCCCCGAAUCAAUUAGGACAUGCACUGCCUUGUUCAGAAUUUUCCCUUUGAGUUGCAUGGUUGAAGUGGCACUACCAUCUCCCAUAGCUCUGAGCUCCACCUCAUCAUUAUCUUCCACAUUAUCCAAUUGGUCCAAAUCAUCAAUGAUAGGAGGAGGUAACACGUUAGGAGGGAGUUGUGGAACUUCAUCUUGUAAUACCUCAAUAACCAUGAUGGCCUGUCCUCGCCGACAAUUGUGUCCCGGUCGGAAGAGCUCAUCACAGAAAAAACAUUGGUUCCGGGAUCUACGCUCCUGGUAUUCAGCUUGUGUGAGUCACCUAUUUCCUCCAAUAUUCCUUGCAGCCCCUGGAUUGGCUAAAGCAGGCAUAUUCUGAGCUCUCAGUUGUGGCGGAGGAGGGCCUUGAGCACGCGGGGGAGCUACUGGAGGCAUAAGAGCUUGUCGCCUUGGUAACCCUGUGACUCUUUGAAAUCUCUGCUAGGUAUCCCCUCCCUCAAACAGUUUUGCCAAUUCACACGCUAUAUAGAGUGUGGAAGGUCUAUGUGCCUUGACACCCGUUCUGAUGUAGGGCUUCAAACCCUCAAUAAAAAAUGACAGCAGUGCCUGUGGUGUGAACCCCUGGUGCACGCCUUGACAGCUUAGUAAACUGAUCCAUAUACAUAUCCACAGACCCUACUUGAGAAAUGCGAGCAAGAGCAGCCUGGUAUUCACCGAAAUUAUGCACACUGAACUCACGCAUUAGUAACUCGGCUAAACCACUCCAAGAGUUUGGAAAUUCAUGUUUGAACAUGAACCAGUGAUCAGCAGCUUUAUCCACUAAAUGCAAGGCUGCUAUAGCUACCUUCUUCUCGUCUGGCACUUGAUAGAACUCAAAAAAUUGUUCGGCCUUGUGCAACCAUUCAACAGGAUCUCCACCCCCAAAGGUCGUGAAAUCUAACUUCAUUUGUCUCAUGGAGGGAAGACUGGGAUCAUGGCUUGAGAAAUUUGGGUUACCUUGGUGGAAACUUUGUUGUUGAUUAUGUGUGUGAGAGGGACUACCAUUGCCAUGGUGUUGGGAAUGGGGGUUUUGAAUGGUUGUGGUAGUGGUAGCAUAGGUAGGGUGAGAUUGAGAAUGGCUUUUUAUGUUUGGAGACUGGUGCAUUUGGGAAUGGGGUGUGUUGCUGGUUGUGGGGAAGGGGGGUGGGCCAAAAGUUGCAGCAGUGUUGUAAACAUCAUGUGAGUAAUGACGUGAAUGGGAUCUGUUGUGUAGAAGCACACAUGGGUUGGGACACCAAAGGAGCACCAAGGUGUUGUUGUGCCUCAUUAUGCAAACCCCUACCAUGGUGGUUAAAAGAGUGAGCUCCUCCAUCAGUGUGUUGAAAAAAUUGAGUCAGGGGUUGCUUUCCAUUGUUUUGACCACUCGAUUCUCCUCUAGCAUGAUUAGACAAACUCAGAGGGUCACCAACAGUAAGUUGCAUCAAGGGUUGGGAAGAGGACUCAAGAGCUGUGUCACACUCACUCAUGAAACCAAGAAGCACAUCAUUAUCUCCAAGGUUCAAAGGAUGGCGUGCCUUGGAUACACUGCCUGCAGAGUUGAGCAGAGACAUAGCUGUUGAGAUGCCAUCAGUCGACGACGGAGUGGUCCCUCUUUCAACUAACGUCGGAGACCCAGAGGUUAAUGGAAGCGACCCAAAGCGCAGCAUCGGAUUCGCCUAUAAUGAUUGUACUUCAUAGUUGUAUCAGUGGCUGCCUCUAGCUCAGCGGUCUUCCAGUUUUAUCUGUUAGGUUCUAGUUGCAUGCAAUGUUUCUUGUUGUAAUGUUUUGGUUUACUAGUCGAAAAAAAGAAGAAGGAAGAAACAAAAAAGGGUAAGCUGACUCAGUACCAUUUGAUCUAAUGACAUAGUCUCCUCUUAAUAAGUGGGAGGUUGUGAGUUUGACUCACGAAGUUGUAUUAUGUGAUAAAAAAAAAGGGUAAGCACUUGUGUAAUUCUAAUUAGAUGGGGUGGUUAAUUAGUUUAGUUGAAACUUGAAAACCAAUGCUUUUACUAAAUCUUUCUACUUAAUCAUAUGCGUACUGCGAGCGUGUAUCAUGUAUGUGAUGUAUAUAUGUCAUCUAUGACAGUUUGUUUUUGGUUCUUGUAGUAUGUAACAUCAAACAACGUGCAAUACAAGAGUAGACAACAAAAAUAAUUGAUGAAACUUGUCUUGUUCACUUGAGUGCUUGAAAAUCGAUCAAAACCCUAACCUUGUCUUUUCCGUCGACGGCGAGAUAAGUGGUUUCUAUUAGAAAGCUGUUUAUAUCAGCAGAAGACAAACUCGUUCAGACCAGAUAAGAUUCUGUGAUCCCCAUUUGGGAAGGUGUAGGGCAUGUACUUGAAAAUUACACCAUAUGCAGUAGUGCCCGGGCCUUCUUCUACAGUUCUACGUACGUAUUUUCAUUUCAGAAUUCACAUGAUGCAUACAUGGGAUAUGGGAGUCAGAGAAAUUAUCCUUUUACCUACGUACUCGAUCUGUUGGCUUGCAUGCCUCUCCAGAAUUUAAUAGCAAAAUUGUGAGCUCUUAUUAACAACUUACUGAGAGUGAAAGAGAGGGAAAGAACAAGAUGAGUAUGAUUUUGCAGGAAGUGUUCCACAUUUUAUAUUCUUUCCUUUGAAGAAUGUAAUCGAUUCUUCCUUUUGAUUCUGGGUUGUUGGAGAAAUUUUAGUCAUCAUCAUCACCAUGUACGUUCUUCUCCUAAGUCUUAAGUACACUCUUGUAAGUUGUAAUUAUAGCUAGAUGGGGUGCGGGGUUUAUUAGUUAACUUGAGGCAAAUGUUUGUACUAAAUCUUCGUAGAUACGUAUGUCGUUGCUGACACAAAACAACAUGCAUGCCACACAGAGUGAGAUCAUGAAGAGACGUCCGAUUCCAACAAAAUGAUAUAGGAGCGAAACUUUUCUUGUUCACUUCAUUGCUCAAAAAUCAAAAUCCUAGCCAUAUAUAUUCGGUCGACUGCGAUGUAAGCGGUUAGUGUUAUAUAUAAAGCUCUUAUAUCAAAUUAUCUUUGAAGCAGGAGAUCGACAUGCAAAGCCAUUCAGACCAAAGAUUAGUGAUAAAGUUAUCAUGGAUUCCCAAGUAUCACAUCAGCAAAUGUAUCAUAGAUCAAUCUAAGAAUGAAAAUUAACAUGAUAUUAACAUGCACGUUAAUAUAUGACCUAAAGUGGAACCACAUUUUUCUUUGAUUAUUCUUGCAUGUAAGACCCGAGAUAUGAAGGAUGAGAACUUUUCUUAACAUUCAUUAAAACUAAAUCACAAUGCAUUCUGAACAUGAUUGCACAAAUAUAACUUAUUGAUGUUUUGUUCCUAAAAACUAUAGGCAUUCACAUUUACUUUUACGAACGGAAAACGCUAUCACGCAUAACUAAAACUCCAAGAGGAACGAAUUUUCUUUCUUAAGCCAUGAAAUCAUUCCGUCUCAUAAAUGCUUUUUUCCAGUAGGCGAUAUGGAUCCAGACCACCGGAAAAUAAAAGGCGGUGGAUUAUUCACACUGAAAAGAAAAAGAAAAGGAAAGAAGAGGUUUUCACAUCCACGCGAAACAUAUGGAGGGAACAGGGAAGUAGUGCCAAACUAUAUGGAUAACGCUGCGUGAAGUCGCUUGUCCAUCUUGUACGUUACACUGUUUUUUUUUCUCCCAGUAAAGGCUAGAACAUGCAUAUAUGUGCCUGUAUAGAACCGAAAGAGCAAAGGCUGAACAUGCAUGUGAAUCCAAGAUAUUGAAGAUCAUGGAGCAUUCGCUUGGAGUUUUGUAAGUUAUUGAAGAUACGCACUGGACCAGUUUCCAGUAUUAUUGUAUAUCUUUAGCAAAGUUGAAGACAAUACUUAAAAUCACUCGUUGUUUUCACACCUGCAGAAAUCCCAGUACAAAACCCAAAGAAUCAGUAGUAACUGUAAGAUAGCUCUAGCAAUUGUAUAACAUAACAAGUCACAAGAUAUAUAUAAAAGAGAGCUUGCUAAUUAACUAACAAAAAAAAUAAAAAUUAGAACCUAUGUGCUAGAUUAGUUUCAUUUUCUUUUUUAAAAUAACGGUCUCAAGAUGAAUAGUUGAUUCAUAUUAUUCAUACUGGGCUCCGAAUGAUAGAAAUUAAGAUUUAUUGAAUUCAAAGAGCAUAAACAUAAAGAAAACACAAAAAGUGCUUUGGACUACAACACUAGUUUGUGAUACUCUCAUUAUUUGAAAUCAAACUCUUCUAUCAUGAAAAACAAGCCGGCCUGUUGUAAAUGUGAGAUUUACCCCUUUUUUGAAGCUUCUCUCUCAGUUUGAAAAAAAAGCAUCUUCAAGAGGAGGGAAUGAGGGAUAUACUUCCAUUAGGUUCACGUGUGUAUUUCUGUGGCAAUGUGAACCCUACACGUGGCAUGAUCUUGUAGAAACGGAGCCGAUUCUGAUAUCUAAAUAGCUAUAAAUAGGGCGCAUUGCAAGAGCAAAAACACCAACAGCAAACAGAAGCCAUAAGCCAUAAGUUACAUAUCCUUGUUCGAUCUCUGCCUUUUAGCCACUAUCAUCAUGCUUGGCCUAGUAAACAAGGUGGCCUCAGUAAUCCACCACCCUCAUAGCCCGUUUGCCAAGUCUGACAAGAAGAUCUUGGAUGAUAUUUACACUACUCAUGUCCAUGCUGAUGAUUCAUUCGACGACGAUUCUCUUUUCAUCAUUGUUGAGAGUAUCCUCAAGCGUGCAACCCAAACUGUCGAUAAAAUUGUGCAGGUACAAAUCACACAUAACAUGUAACACGAUUACAUAUGCCUUGGUCGAUUUUUGCAUACGUACAAUAUAUAUUUACGCAAGAAUGACCAAGCUAGGAUGUUCUUAAUUUGCCUAAGAGAAGCUGUCUUUUUCUGUUGUUGGUAGUGACUAGCUGCAUGCUACAUUCUUGUGGUUGUUGCAGGGUACCCAAGUGCAUGUGGAAGACAUAGAGGAGCAAACUCCCAAAGCCAACUUCAGUGUACCAUUGUGCACGCUUAAGGGAAUCUCCUGCGAGGUCCAUCCGUCCAUAUAUAUACGAUACCAGCAAAAAUUAAAAAAAUUCCAAAUUAAUUGUUGUUAAUUGCUCGUUGAUUACAUUUUCCAUAUAUAUAUUGAAUAUUUCUCUAAUUUCAGAUGCAAUGCAAGCCUCCUGGUGAAGAAAUCGCCCAUGAGACAACACUGGCAAUACUACACAAGCUGUCAAAGUAUUCAUGGGAAGCAAAGGCAUCACUGACCCUAGCAGCUUUUGCUAUGGAGUUUGGUGAAUUCUGGCUCCUUGCAGAGCUUCGUGAAUCAAACCACCUUGCCAGGUCAAUUGCAAUUCUCAAACGACUCCCUGUUCUCCUCAAGCCUUCUCAGCUGCACAAGCGCAGGCAAGCAAUACUUGAGCUUAACAAUCUGAUCAAGGCCACACUGGAAGUCAUUACAUGCAUCGACCAGUUCAACAAGAUUUCCAUUUAUGACCUGAAAGAUGUCCCCGAGUUGUCGGGAACAUUGGAUCAUGUUCCGGUGGACGUAUAUUGGGCUAUCAUGACUGUUGUGGCUUGUGCCACUAAGAUCACACUACUCACUAGUGAUGAGUAAGUUCCUCGAUCUCCAUCGUUUUAAAGAAUUAGCUAAUUACUAUACUCACUGUUGUGGUGUAAGCAUUGUUCCUGGAGAUUGAAUUUGUGUACCGAUUUACGAUAUUUACCCUAUUUAAUUUGCCAUGCACAUAUUGUUUCAGGGACAAAGAAUUUGACCUAUCUCCCUAUUCUCAAAAGAUCCACUUUGUCCUUAACAAGCUCAAGA
rnacentral:lncRNA from 1 species